rnacentral:lncRNA from 1 species
UGUUUUUUGUUUUUGUUCCUGUUUAGUAAUAAAUCUUGCAUCUACCUUCUGUUUAGAUGUGCUUUUAUCUUUGAAUUAGUGUUUGUGCCAAGUAGAACCUAUAGGAUAACCUAUGAUGAUAGUUGAUUUGAUUCUGCUGAAAAACAGAAACUUUGCACACACGAAUUUAUUUUUGUUAAAUCACAUAAACGAGAUUUUCCGUUGAUUCUUUUUUAUUCUGAUCCAUAAACAAAUUUUCCAGGACUUCCUAUUUUGGUAGGAUUUUUAGAGUUCCAGAAGUUUGCGUUAGUUACAGAUUUCUACAGACUGUUCCGUUUUUUGACAGACUCUGUUUUUCGUGUGUUGUUUGCUUAUUUUGAUGCAUCUUUGGCUAGUAAAAUAGUUUAUAAACCAUAGAGAAGUUAGAAUACAGUAGGUUUAACACCAAAAUAAAUAAAGAAUGAGUUCAUUACAGUACCUUAUGUGGUGGUUUUGUUUUCUUUCACUAACGGAGCUUAUAAGAUUUCCUGUUGAGUUUUGUGUUGUGAAGUUUUCAAUUUUCGGGUAAAGCUUUUAUGGACUAUGGAAUAAGGAGUGGAAAGAGUGAUGCGGAGCAUCCCUCGCCUACUCGCGCCGACACUCCAUCACCACCGCAAGCUCCAAGUGGACCAAUGACAAGAGCACGUGCACGCGCCAUCGAGAAUGAGGUUGACUCUCUCCUCUUUGAGUUUUGUUCGGUUUCAUAUGAGAAUUGGAUUCUACCAUCAUAGGAAACAUUGUGCAUGCUUAGGUACCAAGAAUAUGAUAAUGAGAAGGAGAAGACGGAGACUCAAGUGACCACGAAGCAAGGGAAAGAGGAGAAGGAAGGAGAGAACAAGAAGAAGGAAGAAGGAGGAGAAGGGGCAAAAACCGCUGGACAUCCCGGGUGCCCGGCCAUGGCAGCCCCGGGUGCCCGGUCUCUACCUGGGCCGCGUCCCAGCCGGCCCCGGGUGCCCGGCCCCAAGGCCCCGGGUGCCCAGCCCCUCUCCUGGGAUCAGCCCAGCCAGCCCCGGGUGCCUGGCCAACCGGCCCCGGGUGCCCGGCCCUUACCCAGCCGGCCGUUGGGAGCUACCUCGGGUGCCCGGACUUGGAGCCCCGGGUGCCCGGCCCCUCGCCCGCCUGCUCCUGACCUGGCCAGGUGCCCGUCCACUUCCCCUCCGGGUGCCCGGCCCCGCCUGGGCGCAGCUCCCUGACCGGUCCGGGUGCCCGGCCGGUUCCACCCCGGGUGCCCGGACCCUUCCCCGUGGCUACGCGUUUUUAGGGACUUUUUGGUCCUUUGUAUCCCCUUCCCCUAAUAUUUCGUCCCUAGACUAUAUAAGUGGAACUCCUAGGUCAUUUGUGGGUUAGCAAAGAUUAGACGAAGCAUUGUGAGCCUUUGCUCCUUGUAUCCCCUCCUCUUAGGAGCUCAAGCCCCCACCUUGGGAAGAAUCCAUUGUAUUAUCAAGGCCUCCUCUUGCAGAAGAUCAUCAAGACCUCACAUAGUGGUAAGAAUUUACCAAGUGCUACUCUCCUUGUAUUGAUCUUGUAAUCUUGUGGAUCUCAUGUGUGCUACUCUAGUGGAUGUGAUACUUGGGUUUGUUUGAGAGAAUUGUUCUUGGUGUUCUUGGUGUUCUUGAGUUUUUCCUCCUUUUCCCCCCUCCAAGUGUGAAAAGAUCCUUCCUAGGGUUUGACCCUACAACAUCUUGGUAUCAUGAGCAAGGUUUAUUCACAUCUUGGAGUCCCAUCCCCCCAUUUGCUAGCUUGAUUUUGUUGUUUUUCGUCCAAAUCCGAAAAUCCCCACAAAAAUAGCCCCAAAAUUUUUUUCUUGCAAUUUGUUGGAUCUUGUGAGAUUUGGUUGUUUUGGUCCAUGGAUUUGAUGUUUGGCAAGUGAAUCUAGCCCCUCCCCAACAAUCACCACCCUUCCCACCAGGAAAUUCACCGAAUUUGGCCUUUCCCCAAAGAUUUCCGCCCAAAUCGGCCACCACCGGAUGCCCGCACCUCGAACCACCGGGCACCCGCACCACGCCCAGCCACCCCCGGGCACCCGCACCUCACACCCCCGGGUGCCCGCACCCACCCAAAUCAUCCCACUACCAACACCAUUUUGGCCAUAACUUCCACCUCCCAAGCCCGUUUUUCGUGUUCUUUAGCUCGUUUACAAGCUCUUGACAUCCCCCAUCCACUCAUCCCACUACCACCACCAUUAACCCACAUCCAAAAAAUCAUCACAAAUACACCCACCUUCCGCAUUUGACCGAUUUUGUGUUGCCAUUUGCGUUUCCUAAGGUGUUUCGGCUACUUAGGAGCGUGUGACAUCUUCGUCACCAUCAUCGACUCGGAGUCAUCUUCAUCGCUAACCGUAAGAAAGGACGGUAACCUCGACGACACUUACUCCUUACCUUGCUUUUGCAUUGAUAGCCCGAGCCACUUUGCGUCGCUUACCCAUUGAGACUAGCAAGUUGAGAAUUGUCGGGCCACGCUUUUUGUGCACCGUAGUGAUCGUGUUAUAAUCUUAGUGCCAUAAGUCUCUCCCGUGCAUAUCAUACAUACUUGUCUCAUAUCAUACUCAGCUCGAGCGUCAAGCAUAGAGAAAAAAAAGCUUUUAAGCAAAAGACGAGAAACAAAGAGCUUGUAAGCAAUAGAGUGAGCCAUUUGCAUACCUAUAUCAUCUUUGUCAUCGCAUAUAUACCAUAGUUGGGAUUGAAGACGGCACGGUUCUCUCUUAGGUAGGUGCACAAGCGUAUCUUACCCAUUUGAGCAAUCGAGCUAGUGUCUCUCGAGCAUUCGCACAACAAGAGCAUUUUCGUGGUUGCACAUUUUGAGCUCACUCCUUGGUUGUGCGGAUCCCAUCUAUCUUCCGUGCGUGUGUACCUAGUGAUACCUUUGGGUUUGAUCUAUUUGCUUUACUUGCAUUUUUGUGAACCUUCUCAACCUUUUCGAUAUCUUGACUAACAUUUGCUUGAAAUUUUUUCCACCAUCCUAACCGAGCUACUCCAUAAGCCUCUUACUUGUAGGUGUGAGAAACAAACCCGGUUCCAAUUCUCCUAUUGUGGCAUUACAUUGAGUGACACUUGUUACAUCUUCAAUCCUCGGAGAAGGUAACUUUGGUAUUGUUCUCUCACUUUCCUACUCACCCCACUUGAUUAUGAUGGAUAGGCCAAGCGCGUCAUCGAACCCACUUUUCGAGGAGCAAGGUGAUGAUUCCGGAUAUGUCUCCAAGAACCACUUUUUCAUCGCGCAACGAGCACUUCAUCAAGAAAAUGUCGCAUCGGGUGAACGCUUUGAACAACUCGCCUCCGACCUUCGUCAAAACAUCGACGACAAAUUCAACACACAAAUGGAAGAGCUCCAAAACAUGAUCGUUCGACGCCCGUCUUCCUCAUCGGCUUCUUCAAGACGGCGCCACUCAAGUCACCGUACAAGUCGGCAAUCUUCGGACUACUCUUCUUAUGAUGCAAGUCCACCACGAGCUCGCCCUCCUUGACGUGAUCAUCAUCAAGCUCACCAAGCUCAAGAAAAUCCAUUCCAUGGCAAUGGAUUACAAGACCGAGUUCGAGCACGUGAACGGAUGCGACACCAAGUCCCUCAUGGAGCAAUGGAGCAAGAGCAAAUACCUCCACAAGUACCACUUCAAGCCCCUCAAGACGGUGAUGCACUUCGACAAGCACAAGAGCAACGUGAAGCACAAGCCCUCGACCGUGAAUCUCAAGCACUUGAAGCACAACAAGCUCUACGCAAGGCCACUAGAGCCAUUGAAGUCCGCAACCGCCAAGUGCGAGAACAAGAGGAAGCUCUUUGACGCGAGAUACAAGACGAAGCCGCUCGACACGAAGAACAACAAGAAAGGCGCAACCAAUCGCACAUUCCUCGCCCUCCUCCAAGACAAGAGCGACACCAAGUGGAACAAAUGCUUCAAGAGCCUCCUCCACGCCAAGAGAGACAUCAUGAGGAACGAGCAUUUGAGGACUUUCCAAGACAAGAGCGAUAUCACAACCGCUAUCAAGAUGAAGAACUCCUCUACGACAAGCUCAAGUUCACCAUGCCAAAGUUCUCUAGAAGCAAUGAUCCCGAAGAAUAUCUGUCUUGGGCAUUGAAGGUGGACAAGAUUUUUCGCCUCCACAACUACGAUGAAGAAAAUAAGAUAGCAAUGGCCUCCCUCGAGUUCCAAGACUACGUCCUCAUUUGGUGGGAACAAGUGAUCGAGCGACAACAUACAAGAGGCGAACCACCAAUCACAACUUGGGAAGCCAUGAAGGAAGUCAUGAGAGCCCGCUUUGUGCCUACUCACUACACUCGAGAUCUUUUCAAGAAGUUGCAACUCCUCAAGCAAGGCACCAAGAUGGUGGAAGAAUACUACCAAGAAAUGGAGAUUGCCAUGAUACGAGCCAAUGUCAAGGAAGAUGACGAGCAAACAAUGGCACGCUUCUUGAACGGCCUCAACCACCCAAUCAAGCGGAUCGCCGACUUCCAACCAUACUCCAACCUUCUUGAGCUAGUUCAUCAAGCGACCAAGGCCGAGCGACAAGUACAAGAUGACUUCAAAUACGCCAAGUACUCGUCCAAGACCUACGGCUCCUACUCUCAAGCUCCCGCGACUUCGGCACCUCCUACAUCAACUCGAGCAUCACCAAGUACCGGCGACAAGUCAAGUUCCAAGAAAGUGGCACCUUCCUCGACUCGUCCUCGGGCAAGCACCUACAAAUCCAAGACUCCUUCAUCUUCGGCGCCUCCCGAUGAUCCUGUCAAGACAAGUUCAAUCAAGUGCUUCACAUGUGGCGGCUGAGGCCACAAGUCCUUCCAAUGCACCAACAAGCGAACGAUGAUCUUCAACAAUGACGGCACCUAUGACUCAAUGAGUGAAGAAGAAAUGGAAGCCAUUGAGCACGUGGUCAUGCAGUAGCGCGUGAAUGAAGAUGAAGAUGACCAAGUCUUUUGUGAUAAUGAUUCAAGUCCCUCUCUCGUGGUCUCCAAGGUCUUGACGCUUCAACACCACCAAGAAGAAGACCAACGGUGCCACAUCUUCCACACCAAGGCCGGCAUCAAUGGACGGUCCGUCAAGGUCAUCAUCGAUAGAGGUAGUUGCCACAAUUUGGCGAGUGAAGAACUAUUCUCCAAGCUUCAAUUGAUCAAGAGGAAGCAUCCGCACCCUUACAAGGUUCAAUGGCUAAGUGACUCCGGCACUAUCUGAGUUGAGCAUACGGUCCAAGUCUCCUUCAAAAUUGGUGCAUAUGAGGACACUUUGGAGUGUGAUGUGGUCCCAAUGACCGUUUGCCACCUCCUUCUUGGUCGACCAUGGCAAUUCGACCGUGGUGUUAUCCACAAUGGGCGUACCAAUCACUAUAGCUUCAAGAUGAAAGGGAAGGAAUAUGUGCUACGACCUAUGUCUCCUAGUCAAGUGAUAGCCAACAAGCAAGCCACCCACCAUGGAGAGAAGAGUGAGAAAGUGAGCCACCCAAACGUGAGUGAGAGCCACAAGCCAAACUUGAGCGCCUCUUCGCCUAGAGAGAAAAACCUCAUACUAUUUGCCACAAAAAGUGAGAUGAGAGAAGUGUGUGAGAACCCAUUGAGUGUGAUGCACUUUGUCCUUGUGUGCAAGGAUGGGGAACCAAAAACUAACACCGCUCACGAGCUACCUUUGGUGUUUCAAUCCCUUUUGCAGGAAUUUCAAGAUGUUUUCCCCGAUGAGCUACCUCCGGGUCUCCCUCCUCUUCGAGGCAUUGAGCAUCAAAUCGACCUCAUCCCCGGAUCUCCUCUUCCAAACAAGGCUCCUUACCGCGUCAACCCCGAAGAGACAAAGGAGAUUCAACGGCAAGUACAACAACUCAUCAACAACGGUCAUGUACGUGAAAGCUUAAGCCCUUGUGCCGUUCCCGUUAUACUUGUGCCCAAGCAAGAUGGUAGCUUUCGCUUGUGUUCCGAUUGUAGACCCAUAAAUGCUAUUACCGUUCGCUAUAGGCAUCCCAUUCCUCGCUUAGAUGAUAUGCUUGAUGAACUUAGUGGAGCCAACUUUUUCUCAAAAAUUGAUCUUAAAAGUGGCUAUUAUCAAAUCCGCAUACAAGAGGGUGAUGAAUGGAAAACCGCUUUCAAAACCAAAUUUGGCUUAUAUGAAUGGUUAGUCAUGCCUAUGGGUUUAUCAGAGGCUCCCGGUACUUUUGUGCGUCUCAUGCAUCAUGUACUUUGCCCUGAUAGGAUCCCUUUUUUGGCGUCCCCAUGUCCCCCCUGUGGUGUGGCGGCAUGGGGAUGUCAAAAGGAAAGGGAUGGAGUUUUUCUCACUUUUGGCGUAGCAGGCCUCCCUUUGGGAGGCCCGCGCGACGGGCUAUUAGCUCAGUGGUAGAGCGCGCCCCUGAUAAUUGUGUCGUUGAUAUUGGAGUCUUUGUUGUGGUUUACUUCGAUGAUAUUCUUGUGUUUAGCAAAACCAUGAAAGAGCAUCUUAAUCAUGUUAGGGCUGUUUUGCGAACCCUUCGCAAGGAAAGUCUUUAUGCCAACAUGAAAAAGUGCACAUUUGGUGUUGACAAAGUGGUUUUCUUGGAUUUUGUUGUAUCUUCCAAGGGUGUCCAUGUUGAUGAAACUAAAAUUGAAGCAAUUAAAAAUUGGCCCCAACCCACCAAUUUGCAACAAGUGCGAAGUUUUCUUGGCCUUGCGGGUUUUUAUCGUCGCUUGUGAAAGAUUUUAGCACUAUUGCCGCUCCUUUGCAUGCUUUGAGAAAGAAGAAUGCUCCUUUUGUUUGGGGACCUUUGCAAUCAACCGCUUUUGAUGAGCUCAAAUCUUUGCUUACGCAUGCUCCAAUUCUUGCUUUACCCAACUUUGACAAAACUUUUCAGGUUCAUUGCGAUGCAAGUGGUACCGGAAUUGGUGGAGUUUUGAUGCAAUAAAAACGAGCUAUUGCUUAUUUUAGUGAAAAAUUGUCCGGUGCUCGACUUAACUAUCCCAUAUAUGACAAAGAAUUGUUUGCAUUAGUGCGUGUGUUACAUGUGUGGGAGCAUUACCUUAGACCGCAUGAGUUUGUUAUACAUACCGAUCAUGAAACACUUAAAUACCUCAAAGGUCAAACCAAGUUGAAUAAACAGCAUGCUAAAUGGAGUGAAUUCAUUGAAUCUUUUCCCUAUGUGAUAAAGACAUAAAGUACAUUAAGGGCAAAGAAAACCUGAUGGCGGAUGCCCUUUCCCGCAAAUGCAUGUUACUUACUCAACUUGAAUUGAAUGUCAUAGGAUUUGAUCAUAUCAAAGAUUUGUAUGAGGGUGAUGUGACUUUUGCUACUCCUUACGCUAAGUGUGUGACCCAUACUUCUUGGGAACAAUAUUAUAUCAAAGAUGGUUACCUUAUGAGAGCUAACAAAAUAUGCAUUCCCAAGUCCUCUCUUCGUUUGCUCCUUUUGCAAGAGGCUCAUGGAGGUGGACUCAUGGGACAAUUUGGACGCGACAAGACUUUCGCCACGCUCUCCAAGAACUAUUAUUGGCCCAAGAUGUUUCACGAUGUUGCCCGCUUCACCAACCGGUGCUCUACAUGUUGCAAAGCUAAGUCACACUUUCAAUCCCAUGGUUUACAUAUGCCUUUACCUAUCCCACAUCUACCUUGGGAAGACAUUACCAUGGAUUUUGUGCUUGGAUUACCUAGAACUCAAAAUGGCAAGGAUUCGGUUUUUGUUGUUGUGGACCGUUUCUCUAAAAUGGCUCAUUUUAUCCCAUGCAAUAAGAUAGACGAUGCUUCACAUGUUGCCAAUCUAUUUUGUAGGGAAAUCUUGAGGUUGCACGGCGUGCCAAAGACAAUUGUGUCGGAUCGAGACGUCAAGUUCUUAAGCUACUUUUGGAAGACACUAUGCGCCAAGCUAGGGAUCAAGCUACUAUUCUCCACGGCAUAUCAUCCUCAAACCGAUGGCCAAAUGGAAGUCACCAACCGAACGCUUGCGACUCUCCUACGUGUGUUGAUCAAGAAGAACAUCAAGGAGUGGGAGGAGUGCCUACCCAUCGCCGAGUACGCCUACAAUCGUGCAAGACACUCCACAACCGGCAAGUCCCCCUUCGAGGUCGUCUACGGUUUCAACCCUUUGUCGCCAUUGGACAUCCUUCCUCUACCGCUUCAAGAACGAGCAAACAUGGACGCAAGUGCGAGAGCCGCCUACCUCAAGAAGAUGCAUGAAGAAACACGUUCCACGAUCGAGCGCCAGGUACAACGACUUGCUUCCAAGCUCAACCUCAACAAGUCUCAUAUGGUGUUCCAACCGGGUGAUCAAGUAUGGAUACAUCUCCGCAAAGACCACUUCCCCAAGGAACGCAAGUCCAAGCUACUACCAAGAGCCGACGGACCAUUCAAGGUGAUCGCACGCUACAACGACAAUGCCUACAAGGUCGACAUCCCACGCGACAAGUACAACAUUAGCGACAUCUUCAACGUCAAAGACUUGGCCAAGUACCAUGGUGAUGAAGAGCAUGAUCCGUGGACGGAUCUUUCCCAGGGGGGGGGGAGAUGAUGCGGAUCAUCCCUCACCUACUCAUGCCGACACUCCAUCUCCACCGAAAGCUCCAAGUGGAACAAUGACAAGAGCACGUGCACGCGCCAUCGAGAACGAUGUUGACUCUCUCCUCUUUGAGUUUCGUUUGGUUUCACAUGAGAAUUGGAUUCUACCAUCAUCGGAAACUUUGUGCAUGAUUAGGUACCAAGAAGAUGAUAAUGAGAAGGAGAAGACAUAGACUCAAGUGACCACGAAGCAAGGGAAAGAAGAGAAGGAAGGAGAGAACGAGAAGAAGGAAGAAGGAGGAGAAGGGGCAAAAAACCCUGGACAUCCCGGGUGCCCGGCCAUGGCAGCCUCGGGUGCCCAGUCUCUACCUGGGCCGCGUCCCAGCCGGCCCCGGUUGCCCGGCCCCUCUCCUGGGCUCAGCCCAGCCGGCCCCGGGUGCCCGACCCUUACCCAGCCGGCCGCUGGGAGCUACCCUGGGUGCCCGGGCUUGGAGCCCCGGGUGCCCGGCCCCUCGCCCGCCUCCUCCUGACCUGGCCGGGUGCCCGGCCACUUCCCCUCUGGGUGCCCGGCCCCGCCUGGGCACAGCUCCCUGACCGGUCCGGGUGCCCGGCCGGUUCCACCCCGGGUGCCCGGACCCUUCCCCGUGGCUACGCGUUUUUAGGGACUUUUUGGUCCUUUGUAUCCCCUUCCCCUCAUAUUUCGUCCCUAGACUAUAUAAGUGGAACUCCUAGGUCAUUUGUGGGUUAGCAAAGAUUAGACUAAGCAUUGUGAGCCUUUGCUCCUUGUAUCCCCUCCUCUUAGGAGCUCAAGCCCCCACCUUGGGAAGAAACCAUUGGAUUAUCAAGGCCUCCUCUUGGAGAAGAUCAUCAAGACCUCACAUAGUGGGAAGAAUUUACCAAGUGCUACUCUCCUUGUAUUGAUCUUGUAAUCUUGUGGAUCUCAUGUGUGCUACUCUAGUGGAUGUGAUACUUAGGUUUGUUUGAGAGAAUUGUUCUUGGUGUUCUUGGUGUUCUUGAGUUUUUCCUCCUUUUCCCCCUCCAAGUGUGAAAAGAUCCUUCCUAGGGCUUGACCCUACAACAAAGAGCCUAAGCUUGGGGAUGCCCAUGGCACCCCAAGAUAUUCAAGGAUAGCCAAAAGCCUAAGCUUGGGGAUGCCCCGGGAAGGCAUCCCCUCUUUCGUCUUCGUUCAUUGCUAACUUUACUUGGAGCUAUAUUUUUAUUCGCCACAUGAUAUGUGUUUUGCUUGGAGCAUCGUGUAUUAUAUUAGUCUUUGCUUUUUAGUUUACCACAAUCAUCCUUGUUGUACACACCUUUUGGGAGAAGCCUACUUGAUUUGGACUUGCUAGAAUACUCUAUGUGCUUCACUUAUAUCUUUUGAGCUUGAUAGUUUUUGCUCUAGUGCUUCACUUAUACUUUUUAGAGCACGGUGGUGACUUAAUUUUGAAGAAAUUGCUAGUCUCUCAUGCUUCACUUAUAUCUUUUUGAGAGUAUUUUAGAACAGCAUGGUAUUUUCUAUGGUUACAAAGUUGGUCCUAAAAUGAUGAGCAUCCAAGUUGGGUAUAAUAAAAACUAUCAUAGAAAAGAAUUGGAUGCUAUGAUCAAUUUUAUGCUUGAUAAUUGUUUUGAGAUAUGGAGGUAGCGAUAUUAAAGUCAUGCUAGUUGAGGUGAUUAUGAAAAAUACUUGUGUUGAGGGUUGUGAUUCCCGUAGCAUGCACGUAUGGUGAACCGCUUUGUGAUGAAGUUGGAGCACAAUUUUAUUUAUUAAGUGUCUUCCUUAUGAAUGGCGGUCGGGGACGAGCGAUGGUCUUUUCCUACCAAUCUAUCCCCCUAGGAGCAUGCAUGUAGUGCUUUUGUUUUUGAUGACUUCUAGAUUUUUGCAACAAGUACAUGAGUUCUUUUGACUAAUGUUGAGUCCAUGGAUUAUACGCACCUCACCCUUCCACCAUUGCUAGCCUCUCUUGUGCCGUGCAACUUUCGCCGGUACCAUACACCCACCAUAUACCUUCCUCAAAACAGCCACCAUACCUACCUAUUAUGGCAUUUCCAUAGCCAUUCUGAGAUAUAUUGCCAUGCAACUUUCCACCGUUCUGUUCAUAUGACACGCAUUACUUUUGUCAUAUUGCUUUUUGCAUGAUCAUGUAGUUGACAUCAUAUUUGUGGCAAGGCCACUUUCAUAAUUUUCAUACAUGUCGCUCUUGAUUCAUUGCAUAUCCCGGUACACCGCCGGAGGCAUUCAUAUAGAGUCAUAUCUUGUUCUAGCUUUGAGUUGUAAUUCUUGAGUUGUAAAUCCAUAAAAGUGUGAUGAUCUUCAUUAUUAGAGCAUUGUACUAGUGAGGAAAGGAUGAUGAAGACUAUGAUUCCCCCACAAGUCAGGAUGAGACUUCGGACUUUACAAAACGAAAAAAAAAAGAAGACAGAAAAAAAGGCCAAAAAAGGCCAAAGAAAAAAAGAGAAAGAAAAAAAAGAAAAAAAAGGGAAAGAAAAAAAUAAAAUGAGAGAAAAAGAGAGAACGGACAAUGCUACUAUCUCUUUUUCCACACUUGUGCUUCAAAAUAGCACCAGGAUCUUCAUGAUAGAGAGUCUCAUAUGUUGUCAGUUUCAUAUACUAGUGGGAAUUUUUCAUUAUAGAACUUGGCUUGUAUAUUCCAAUGAUGGGCUUCCUCGAAAUGCCCUAGGUCUUCGUGAGCAAGCGAGUUGGAUGCACACCCACUUAGUUUCUUUUGUUGAGCUUUCAUAUAUUAAUAGCUCUAGUGCAUCUGUUGCAUGGCAAUCCCUACUCACUCACAUUGAUAUCUAUUAAUGGGCAUCUCCAUAGCCCGUUGAUACGCCUAGUUGAUGUGAGACUAUCUUCUCCUUUUUAGUCUUCUCCACAACCACCAUUCUAUUCCACAUAUAGUGCUAUGUCCAUGGCUCACGCUCAUGUAUUGCGUGAAAGUUGAAAAAGUUUGAGAUUAUUAAAGUAUGAAACAAUUGCUUGGCUUGUCAUCAGGGUUGUGCAUGAUUAAAUACUUUGUGUGAUGAAGAUAGAGCAACAGCCAGACUAUAUGAUUUUGUAGGGAUAACUUUCGUUGGCCAUGUUAUUUUGAGAAGACAUGAUUACUUUGAUUAGUGUGCUUGAAGUAUCACCAUUUUCAUGUUAAUAUGAACUUUUAUUUUGUAUCAUUUGGAUCUGAACAUUCAUGCCACAAUAAAGAAAAUUACAUUGAGAAUUAUGCUAGGUAGCACUCCACAUCAAAAAUUCCUUUUUUAUCAUUUACCUACUCGAGGACGAGCAGGAAUUAAGCUUGGGUAUGCUUGAUAUGUCUCCAACGUAUCUAUAAUUUUUUAUUGUUCCAUGCUAUUAUAUUACCCCUUUUGGAUGUUUAUGGGCUUUAUUUUACAUAUUUAUAUCAUUUUUGGGACUAACCUACUAACCGGAGGCCUAGCCCGUAUUGCUGUUUUUUUGCCUAUUUCAGUAUUUCGAAGAAAAGGAAUAUCAAACGGAGUCCAAACGGAAUAAAACCUUCGAGAGUGUGAUUUUUGGAACGAACGUGAUCUAGAGGACUUGGAGUGCAAGUCAAGAAGUAGCCGGGGCGGCCACGAGAGGGUAGGGCGCGCCUCCCCUAUAGGGCGCGCCCCCCUAUCUCAUGGGCCCUUCGGGCAGCCACCGACGUACUUCUUCCUCCUAUAUAAGCCUACGUACCCCGAAAACAUCCAGGGAGCCAACGAAACACAAUUUCCACCGCCCUAACCUCCUGUAUCCGCGAGAUCCCAUCUUGGAGCCUUCGCCGGCGCUCCGCCGAAGGGGGAAUCAACCAUGGAGGGCUUCUACAUCAACACCAUAGCCCUUUCGAUGAGUUGUGAGUAGUUUACCACAGACCUUCGGGUCCAUAGUUAUUAGCUAGAUGGCUUCUUCUCUCUUUUUGGAUCUCAAUACAAUGUUCUCCCCCUCUCUUGUGGAGAUCUAUUCGAUGUAAACUCUUUUUGCGGUGUGUUUGUCGAGAUCCGAUGAAUUGUGGGUUUAUGAUCAAGUUUAUCUAUGAGAAAUAUUUGAAUCUCCUCUGAAUUGUUUUAUGUAUGAUUGAGUUAUCUUUGCAAGUCUGUUAGAAUUAUCAGUUUGGUUUGGCCUACUAGAUUGAUCUUUCUUGCCAUGGGAGAAGUGCUUAGCUUUGGGUUCAAUCUUGCGGUGUCCUUACCUAGUGACAGAAAGGGUUGCAAGGCACGUAUUGUAUUGUUGCCAUCAAGGAUAAAAAGAUGGGGUUUAUAUCAUAUUGCAUGAGUUUAUCCCUCUACAUCAUGUCAUCUUGCUUAAGGCGUUACUCUGUUCUUAUGAACUUAAUACUCUAGAUGUAGGCAGGAGUCGGUCGAUGUGUGGAGUAAUAGUAGUACAUGCAGGCAGGAGUCGGUCUACUUGUCACGGACGUGAUGCAUAUAUACAUGAUCAUGCCUAGAUAAUCUCAUAAUUAUUCGAUUUUCUGUCAAUUGCUCGACAGUAAUUUGUUCACCCACCAUAAUACUUAUGCUAUCUCGAGAGAAGCCUCUAGUGAAACCUAUGGCCCCCGGGUCUAUCUCUUAUCAUAUUUGCUUCCAAUUUACUUUUAUUUGCAUCUUUACUUUUUCCAUCUAUAUUAUAAAAUACCAAAAAAUAUAUUUAUCUUAUCAUACUAUCUCUAUUAGAUCUCACUUUCGCAAAUGGCCGUGAAGGGAUUGACAACCCCUUUAUUGCGUUGGUUGCGAGUUCUUUGUUUGUUUGUGUAGGUGCCUGGGACUUUUGAGGAGCCUCCUACUGGAUUGAUACCUUGGUUCUCAAAAACUGAGGGAAAUACUUACGCUACUAUUGUUGCAUCACCCUUUCCUCUUCAAGGAAAACCAACGAAAGCUUAGCAUGCGACCAGGACGCGUGGAUCGUUAGUUCAUAGGAAGUAGUAGUAGUUUUAUUCACUGGUACGUUAAAUAAAGAGUUUCGUUUCGUACUUACACAAUUUAAAACGAUUGUUAUGGAGAGAAUAAGAAAAUAACUCCACUAUAUAUUAGUCGUAUACACGAGUACUAUAUGGACGCAGCUUCAUUGACUUAGUGCACCUGCCUUUGGGUUUAUGACAGGUGGGCCCAAAAUGUGGCUGGCCCACCUAUCAUAUAGCCAAUAGCAGGUGCAGUUAAGGCACCGAAGCUCAAUCCGUACUACAAUAUAUAUAUAAGCUGGAGCCUCAGCGCUUGUUCGCUCGGGUUUGCACUCUCCACACUCUCGCCGCACUACAUAUAUAUAUAUACACGUUGGAGGCUCAGUGUUCCUUUGCUAGGGUUUGCUAUAUUCACAGUCUCUCACCCUCUUCACCAGAUCUAAAUAAGACUGUGUUGGCCUCUUGUCUCUCUCUCCCCCCUCAUAGCAGGUGAAGGAGGCAUUCGGAUCCCGUCGCACCGGGAAGGGGAGGAGGUGCAGCAUUCACUCUAUCACGUUCUGCAAGGGAGGCAAUCCACUGCCAGCUGCGCUAUUCUCUUUCACCCAACGCCUGUGCGGGAGGGCCACCGACACCUUCUUCGUCACUGCCGUAUGUAGUGUGGGUAGAUCCGGCCUCCCGCCGCACGGCUUGACACAUCCCGACGACCCUAAGGUAUAAGUUUCUUCGAAACCGUCAUUGCUCUAGCUGCAUGCGAAUCUUUUUCAAUUCUGUAGUCGAAUCUAGGUUUUGGUUCAAAGAGGAAAGAAGGGUGCGGUUGGGUGGAGCAUGAAUCUAGGACAUGGUUCAAUGAGGAAAGGAGGGAGGGAAAGUAGUAUAGACUGGCUAUCCAGCCACUUUGUUGGUCGAAAAGGGAAAAAGGGGGUAACCCGAAACUGGGGGUCGGGUAGUUUGUGCAGGACUAGAUUUGUUGCCCUCACAUAAGAAAAAGGUUCAAAGAGAACAAAUAUGGGACCAACGCAGAUAUGCUGCUUGGCUACAUAUUCUGCAUCACCCAUUUAUACAUGUGGAUGCACAUGGUGCUGGCAUGUCCCAUGUCCCAUGUCCCAUACAACUAUUUUGUUGUUGUUAACCUAAGAAUGCCGCCGGAAAAUUGAAGCAAUGCCACUGUUAAAAGUAAAUUACAUUUUUUAACGAAUGUUGUUUUAAGAGAAUGUCUCUGUUAAUAUGAAUCAAUGCAACCGUUUUAGAAAUGCUACUAUCCUACUUUGUUUUCCAUCAAGAUAAGUUAGAUGCUUCUUUCUGUCAUCGUUUGUUUCAUCCUCCUUCAUUGGCAAGUAAUUGUUUCAUUUUUUGCCUCUGUUAAAACAGGGGUAUCUAUUCAACUUGUUGCUAUUUUGACAUUUUGCUUUUCUACGCGAAACACUUAUGUUUAGGAGUGUUUUGUGCAGUUUAACGUGAAUGUCACACCGGCGACUUUGCUUAAUUUUGGUGGAACUGCACAAAAGGAGAUCAAGAUUUGCUUCUAGUCUUCCUUGCGAGUUGUUUAAAAUCUUGGUCUCAUCCACAUGAUGGUGCUGUGCUCUUUGAGAUGUUGUGCUACUUCUUUUGGUACUGUUUUGGAUAAAUGUUGAAUUGAAGCUAUUGAACUGUUGUCUUUUACCAUUAAGUGAGAAAAAAUUGUUCCAACCCAAACAUGAUGCUUGUUGCUUUCUUACACAAAACUCUGCAUCACCCCCUUUAUAAGUAGAUGGAAGCACAUGGUGUUGUUGCGCCCACUCUCCCCUGGAACUGUUUAUGAUUUUUGUUAAUCUAAUGCCGCUGGUAAAAUUAAGCAAUGCCACUCGCAGAAUUAACUACUGAAUCUUAGUUCAAAACUGCAACACUUGUAAGGGAUUGGCGGAAUUACCAUUUUGUGGUCGCAUGUGUCAUCCUCCUUUAUUUGCCAGUAAUUGAUUCCUUUUUUGCCUCUGUUAAAACAGGGAUAUCUAUUCAAGUUGUUACUAUUGCGACAUUUUGCUUCGCUACACGAAACACUUAUGUUUUAAGAGUGUUUUUUGCAGUUCAACUUGAAUGUCACACCGUCAACUUUGCUUAAUUUUGGUGGAACUGCACAAAAGGAGAUCGGAUUUUCAUAUAUGUGUUGGGAUUUCGUUCAAAUCAUCCUCUCGAGCUGUUUCAAAUCUUGGUCAAGAAAGGUUAGUAUCGACUUUCAUCCACAUGAUGGUGCAGUGUGCUUUGAGAUGAUGUGCUACUUGUUUUGGUACUGUUUUGGAUAAAUGUUGAAUUGAAGCUAUUGAACUGCUCUCUUUUACCAUUAAGUGAGCAAAAAUUGUUCCAACCCAGACAUGAUGCUUGUUUCAUUGUUACAACAAAACUCUGCAUCACCCCCUUUAUAAGUAGAUGGAAGCACAUGCUGUUGUUGUGCCCACUCUCCCUUGGAACUGUUUAUGAUUUUUGUUAAUCUAAUGUCGCUGGUAAAAUUAAGCAAUGCCACUCUCAGAACUAAUUAACUACUGAAUCUUAGUUCAAAACUGCAACACUUGUUAGGGAUUGGCGGGAUUACCAUUUUUGUGGCCGCAUGUUUGAUCCUCCUUUAUUGGCCAGUAAUUGAUUCCUUUUUUGCCUCUGCUAAAACAAUUCGGUCGCAUUGUUUUAGGAAUGGUAUUAUCCUGCUUUGUAGUUCUUUCUACAUGUUUAACCAAGGUAUUGUUAAGAUAAUGUCUCUAUUAAAAUGAAUCAGUCGCAUUGUUUUAGGAAUGGUACUUUUCUGCUUUGUCGUUCUUUAUACAUGUUGAAAUAAGGCAUUGUUAAGAUAAUGUAUCAGUCAAUAUGAAUGAAUCACACUGAUGGAGAAUUGCUACUCUCCUGCUUUGUUUCCCAUUAAGAUAAGGUAGAUCAGUAGAUGCUUUUCUUCCAGGAGUACAAGUCAUCAACCGUUAUUUCUCAGUAAUUGUUUACCUUAUACCUAUUGUUCUUUACAGGAAUAUCAAAAUUAAAGCUCGGUUUUAUUCUGACUUUGAUUUUAGUUGAACUGCACAAAAGGAGCCAAUGUUUCCAACGCAAACUGCUGCAUUACUGGGUCCAGUUGGUCGUUCCACUUUGCAAAAAGAAGCAGUCACUGUUUGCGCUACAUUACAGAAGGAAUGACCGAGAAGCUUUAUAGAGUAUUAGUAGACGUUGGUGACAUGACUAGUCUGUAGAGAGCAUAGGCAACUCUACAACACGUGGAGUGCACUGGGCAAAAAGUGCCCAAACAAGUACAAUAAGCCAUGACAGGACUCCACGAUCAUAGGCAUUACAUAUUUUGAAUGGGAAAAGCUUGUCAAAGUUUAAUCAUUGAUGUUAGCAAGAAGACAUUAGUUUAAUAUAUUGGAAUUGGAAAACCUUGUCAAAAUUUGCUCAUUGAUGUUAGCCAGAAGACAUGCGUUUGAUAUUUUUGAGUGGGACGCCCUUUGCUGUGAGUAGCGUCGAUCGUUUUUUCUUGUUCCUGUGUUCAGUUUAGAAGUAAAUAGUUACUCUGCUAAGAUGCAUAGUCACAUGAAUGUUGACUUAUGUAAGGUAUUUUAAGAGUUUGUUCUGAAUAUUGUCUAUGUAAUGCCAGGCCUUGUGUUUGAUUGCAAAGUUGAGCUUGGAAUGUUGUGGCAUGCGGCAUCACGAGCUGUUCACCGUGCCUCCUAAGAAUAAUGCUUCGUAUUUUUUUGCAUGUCGAUCUAAUGCCGGUGAUUUGCUUGUUAAGAAGAUCAUCCUCUUCUGUUGUUUCCAUGCUUAAGAAGUUAAUCAUCUUAUGUUUCAUUCAUAGCCUAUACGACAAGUCGGGUAGGUUAGACGUGAAACCAUAUGAUCUUCCGACCAACUCAUCAUCUUAGGACAUGAUUGGAUCGUCGUUUUCCAACUAAAACCGCUUGUAAAACUGAUGCUUGUAAAUAAAAGCAGAUGGUCUGGGGUGAAGCGCUUGGUUGGUCGAUUUCGACUAGUAAAAUAUACACUGGUCUCUUAAAUUACACGCGUAACCUGCCGGUUUUACUUACAGACCUCGGGCCCUCGGUUUCAUUACACCUGUAUUUUAUGCGUUGUUUCCGAUGACGACUAAAUUACACUUGUAUCUUAAUACAGGUGUGAAAUAAACCAGAGCUCCCAAGCGCGGCCUUACCGUCUCAUGUUGUUUCAGUCUCUCAAAGGUGCUCAUAGGUGUCCAAUGAUCCUGGCUUCCUAAAUGAGUAGCGGGCGUUGUAUCAGGCCAUCCAUAGGGCCCGCGAGGCCCUCUCCGUCGUCCUUUGAGUUGUUGCGCUCGCCGUGGCGCCGAGCAUUGUUAAAAUGGUCAACGAACAUGAGGAUUCAGGAGAUGACUUUAUUUUGACUGGAUGACAAUAGGGACCCACUAGGGCCAUAGCCGUACGUACGCAAGUGCCUCCUUAUUAUGUACAACUAUAUAUAUUUUUUGCUUCCUCCUGGUUUCCUGACAUCAUGAUCCCACACCAUUGUCAACCUAUGUAGUCAAUAUAAACGAGAGAAUUGAACAAGGUGCGGCCGACAGCUGGGACCAAGCAGCUCAAGCAGUAUUUGUGUUUUUGAGGCGUGAGCACUGCAGAGUUUUUCUUGAGCGAUGUUUUCGUUAUUGUUCAUAGGAGAGCAGGGUAUAACUGGGCGGGCUGUGGCCCGUCUAGCCCAGGCCAGAUAUCUAGCCCAGAUAUUAAUUUUUUUCAAGAUGAAAAUGGCUAGCCCAGUUAUACGUUUUUUAAGGAAUACCCAGGUAAGGUCAAUUUGUUAUUCUCCGCCCUGCUGGGCUGCAAAUCUUUCCUAGGAGGGAUGCAUUAGGCUUAACAGGAAAAUGGGCUUUAAAAAAUAAUAAAUGGAAUGUAAUUAUAAAAAUUGGGCAGUAACUAUAAAAAAUGCACCAAACACGUAAUUAGUUUAUAAAAUAUUAUUUUUGGAUUUUGAAAAUCUUAAUUUUUAAUUGUUGCGCGCGCAAUGUUUCGUUGGAUUUUUACGUAAUACAAAUUUAUAUUUAAUCUGACUAGAAAUUUUGGGAUAAAAAUAUUUUGGAUCCCAUCAAAAUGUGGGAAAUUUUAUUGAAUUCUGUCUUGAACGGUUGGUUGAAAUUAUUAAUCGUUGUCCUAACUAGAAAAUGGACUGUACUUUUAACAGACUGUAAAUGGGCUGUAGUAAAUUCCAUUAGAAUUCAAAAAUGGGUUGUACAUUCUUACAAAUCGCAAAUGAGCUAUAAGUUCUCUGCCACACACUUGUGGGCCUACUAAGUUGACGCGUCCCCUAAAAAAGAAGUUGACGCGUAUGCAAGGCUUUGCCAACUUAUAGUCAACACACGGUUCUAGCAGCAGUGGCCGUUGGAUGUCUAUCCAACGGAUGUCGUGCUUCUUCUUCAAUCUCGGAUAUUCUAGCUUCGGCCACCCAAAAAAUGAUUCCCCCCUGACAUCUGGGGUGCACCGUUUCGGAGGCUGACCUAUGGGCCUACUAAGUUGUAGCAUACCAAGGGCUUUGUCAACUUAGUCAAUAUAAACGAUUCUAGCUGCAACGACCAUACGAUGUCCAACGGCCGUCGUGCUUCUUCAACCUCAGGUCUUCUUGAUCCAGCCGCCCAAAGCAGCGCCGAUCAUGCCGCCUGCUCCUGCCUCAUGUGGCCGGUUGUGCUGUCGCGGAGGCCUCACCGCCCCCUACUACUCCCACCGCUGACCAGGUCAUCCCUCCACUCACCCACACACCCUGUUAUUCUGCGGUGACGGCAGCCUCACACCGAAGCCGAACCAGUGAACCCUUGUACUCCUCUUUGCGUGGGCAUCCACUGCCGCGUCUUCCCCGGCUCCGCGUCCCCUUCCUAGGCCUCGUCGCCGUCCAUCGCCCUGGUGCUCUCGGUGCGGCGUGGUGAACGUGGUCAAGGAACGAGUUCCAUCGGACGUGAACUGUACAUAGAGAGGAUGACAGUUGGGUCCAUGGCCGCACACAAGGAAAUGCCUCCUUAUUACGUGCAAAAUAAUGACUCCUCGAGCUGACAUCUGGGACCCGCCGGAAGGGCCUCUAUAUUUCAUGAAAAAAAUGUCCCCCCCCCCCGGCAGACAGGUCGGACCCACCAGCUAUAUCUUCACACGCAAGGAAAUGCCUCCUUAUUAUGCACAAAAAAUGAAUACUCCCCGUGCUAGCUGGGACCCAGCAUAGUGGGAGGCUGACCUAUGGGCCUACUAAGUUGACGCGUACCAAGGGCUUUGUCAACUUAGUCAAUAUAAACGAUUCUAGCUGCAGCGACCGUACGAUGUCCAUCCAACGGCCAUAGUGCUUCUUCAACCACUGGUCUUGUUGCUCCAGCCGCCCAAAGCAGCGCCGGUCGUGUAGCCUGCUCCUGCCUCCCGUGGCUAACUGUGCUGCCGCGGAGGCCUCACCGCCCCCUACUACUCCCACCAUUGGCCAGGCCAUCCCUCCACUCACCCACACCCCUGUUAUUCUACGGCGAUGGCAGCCUCACACCGCAGCCGAACCAGUGAACCCUCGUACUCCUCUCCGUGUGGGCAUCCACUGUCGCAUCUUCCCUGGAUCCGCGUCAUCCCAUUCCUAGGCCUCGUCGUCGUCCACCGCCGUGGUGCUCACGGCGCGGCAUGGUCAAUAUGGUCAACGACCGACUUCCAUCAGAAGAGUAUUGUACGUGGAGAGGCUGAUAGCUAGGUCCACGACAGUCGUAAGGAAGUGCUUCCUUAUUACGCGCAAAACAAUUAUUCCUCCACCUGACAGCAGGGACCCACCAGAUGGGCCACCGUAUUUCGCGAAAAAAUAGUUUCCCCCUGACUACUGGGACCCAUCGGAUGGGCCACCGUAUUUCGCGAAAAAAACGUUCCCCCCACUGUCAGCUCGGACCCACCAAAAGUGCCUCAUUACGCACAAAAAAAUGAAUACCCCCUGCUAGCUGGGACCCUGGGAGACUGACUUGUGGGCCUACUAAGUUGACAGGGACGGAGGGCUUUUUCAACUUAGUCAAUAUGAACGAUUCUAGCUCCGGUGACCGUACAAUGUCCAUCCAAUGGUUGUAGUGCUUCUUCAACCUCUGGUCUUCUUGCUCCAGCCGCCCAAAGCAGCGCCAGUCAUGCCGCAUGCUCCUGCCUCCCGUGGCCGACUGUGCUGCUGCGGAGGCCUCACCACCCCCUACUAUUCCCACCGCUAGCCAGGCCCUGCGGCAACGGCAGCCUCACACCACAGCCGAACCAGUGAACCCCGUACUCCUCUCCACGCGGGCUUCCACUGCCGCGUCUUCCCCGGCUCCGCGUCGUCCCCUUCCUAGGCCUCGCCGUCGUCCACCACCCUGGUGCUCUCGGCACGGCGUGGUCAACGUGGUCAAGGAAUGACUUCCAUCGGAAGAGUACUGUACAUGGGAAGGCUGACAGUUGGGUCCACGGCGGCCGAAAGGAAGUGCCUCCUUAUUACGCACAAAAUAAUUAUUCCUCCACCUGACAGCAGGGACCCACCGGACGGGCCACCGUAUUUCGUGAAAAAAAUGUUUCCCCCUGACUGCUGGGACCCACCAGCUAGAUCUUCACACGCAAGGAAGUGCUUGAUAGAUGUGACCCACCUGGUCGAAGCAUACGUAGCAUUGUCAUUCUGGUCGCGAAUGUGUACGUACAUACUGGUCGAUGUAGACGCGCACGUGUCAUAGUAGAGGCGCACAUGUACCAUGUAGACGUACGUACAACGGCCAGGGUGUAAGAAAGUAAAUACGGCCAGGUACGUACAUACGGGCGGGGUCUCGAACGCCUACUCACGCAUACGUACAGCCAGGGCUCGUGUAGAUGGCUGGGUCGAAAUGGAGAAACUGCGUCGUCGUCGUGUUCAUGGGGAGCCAACCGGCUGGGUCGGAACAGAAUGCAUCGUCGUGUUCAUCGAGAGGGCUUGGACGGAACAGCCGAUGGAAACGAGGCAUGGUGUACCACACAACAGAGGAAACGGCCUUGUGUUCGACCAGCCAUGUUCAAAAUAGGAUCAUGUUCAUCGGGAGGGGUCUGGCGUACCGCAAAACAAAGGAAACGGACUUCUGUUGGACCUCCUACGGUCGAAACGGGGUCCUGUUGAUCGGGAGGGGUGUGGCGUACCGCAAAAUGGAGGAAAUGGACUUGUGUUGGAGCGCUACGGUCGAAACGGGGGUCCUCUUCAUCGGGAGGGGUGUGGCGUACCGCAAAACGGGACUCCACGGGAUACUGUUCAUCUCCACCGUCGACCUCCUCCAGCCUCCACGGGCUACUGUUCAUCCACCGUCGACCUCCUCCAGCCUCCACAUGCGACUGUUCAUCCACGGGCUCCUGUUCAUCCAGCCUCCACCGCGCACUACUCCACCAGCUACUGUUCAACCAGCCCUCUCCAAGGGCUCCUGUUCUACCACCCCUCCACGGGCUACUAUUCAUCCAGCCCUCCACUUUCUACUGUUCAACCAGUCCUCCACGGGGUCGUCAUGUUCAUCCAGCCCUCCACGGGGUCCUGUUCAUCCAGCCCCAACCGGCUCGAUCAAUUGAGGUCUUGUUCAUCCAGAGGCAACGCCACGGGGUCUUGUUCAUCCACCCCCACCGGGAACUGUUCAUCCAAACCNNNNNNNNNNNNNNNNNNNNNNNNNNNNNNNNNNNNNNNNNNNNNNNNNNNNNNNNNNNNNNNNNNNNNNNNNNNNNNNNNNNNNNNNNNNNNNNNNNNNNNNNNNNNNNNNNNNNNNNNNNNNNNNNNNNNNNNNNNNNNNNNNNNNNNNNNNNNNNNNNNNNNNNNNNNNNNNNNNNNNNNNNNNNNNNNNNNNNNNNNNNNNNNNNNNNNNNNNNNNNNNNNNNNNNNNNNNNNNNNNNNNNNNNNNNNNNNNNNNNNNNNNNNNNNNNNNNNNNNNNNNNNNNNNNNNNNNNNNNNNNNNNNNNNNNNNNNNNNNNNNNNNNNNNNNNNNNNNNNNNNNNNNNNNNNNNNNNNNNNNNNNNNNNNNNNNNNNNNNNNNNNNNNNNNNNNNNNNNNNNNNNAGGCAGCAUCGAUUGGCUUCAGUUAGCAGCAGUAGCAAAGGAAUCGCUCGAUCGGAUUUAGUUAACAGCUAUCGAUCGAUCGCUCGGGUUCAGUAACGCGUAGCCUGCAGUGCAAUCGCUUGGGUUUAGUAGGCGAACGCCUCGCUCGGGUUCAGUUAGAGCCCAAUGCCUCGCACCCACGUGCGUGCGUGUACGAGAGAAAUGCGCAAACCUCCAUGCAUCGCUCGGCCCCGACCACCCACCAUAACUGGGAACACCCCGAUAUUUUCCUCGCCCUCGCUUCUACCAUGGUUUUUUCCGUCAUGGAUGGCCCAAAAAAUGUCAUGAAGCCGCGUCUCCGGCCCGCCCAGGACAAAAAGUCCAUUUUCUGUCAUGUUUUUUUGUCAGAGAAGUAGGAGCCCACUACAUCUAUGAUGAUACUGAGUUUUGUCACAAUUAUCGUCAUAGAAGUGUCAUAAGUAUGAUAGAAAAAAAUUCGUUUGGCCCAAAAUGUCACAGAUGUGUCUUUUUUUGUAGUGCAUGCUCGGAAUGGCAGAAUGAACAAAGCUCGUGUUGGGGAAGACCAGACUUAGCAAGAUGAUUAGCAGUCCAAAUUCUUCUCCGAACUGCAAGCUAGAUGAAGAUUUUCCACCAAUGGGGAGCCUAGGCUCUCCAUAUUGCAUUCGCUGAACUGCAAAACAGCCUACCAUAAAAAAGUAUACGCCAAUUUGGAUGAGAAGCAACGAGAGGACUCAAGUGUCCAACUCCUUGGUGAUCCUUGCAAGCCCAUCAUCUCUCUCGUCUUUGUAUCGUUCAUCCUUCAUUUCCUCCUUUUUCUUAUAUUUUGGCACUUGUCACCUCUUUGUUGAAGAUGAUCACUGCCCAUGAAGCCAAAAAUGCACUCACCGCUCCAACAUACUUUGCCUUCUCUUGCUCAUGUUUCCUUCCCCGCAUUCUGAACAUGCGGGUAGCCGGUGUGAUUCCCCCUCACUUUCCUCACCCUCUAUCCACCCUGAAUUGAUUGUUGGGAGCUUGAGCCAUCCUCUUUUUUGUGUGCUUCUGGGAUGCAAGAUUGGGGUUCUUUGUGCUUCCUAGAUGCAAGACUGGGGUUCUUUGAGUGAUCCAACUUGAUCAUUCCAUUUACUUGUCUCAUUCAACUUCAUCCAACAAUGGGCCCAUGCCCUCUUUUUUGACAUUAAAGUACUAUUUAUUGCAAGGUGGUCAUUAUAUUAUCUUUUACAAGAGUAUCAACAAUCUCUACGAGUGGAUCUUCCAUCCACCCCGCACAUACCUUACUUCUAGCUAGUUUGGCUAAAUCAUGGGCAGCACAAUUAAUCUCUCUAGGAGCAUGCUCAAAAAUAAUAUGCGGGAAAUCACACACAAGAUGAUAUAUAUAUCAUCAAAAACUGCCGCCAAUAGACCGAAAGAACGACCUCCAUUCUUCAUUGUCUCUAUCACCUCGAUGGUGUCGGAGUUCAUGUCUAUUCGGCUACACCCGAUUGUAGUUUCCAAACUGAGAUCAAACCGUAAGGCCAGUGCCUUGGCCAUAAGCGCAUCGCCACACCAAUCGAUUUCCUCGUUUCCUGCCACGACGAAUCUGCCAUUUGAGUCUCUGAUGACCGCGCCAUAUGAGCCCUAGAGUAAGCUUGGGUCAAAAGCCCCAUCCAUGUUUAGCUUCACAUAGUUUCCCCUUUGUCUUUCCCGGCCAUGUCGCUUGCUCGUCGCCUUUGCAUCACUUGCCAUGGUAUAGUUAGCAGCCAAAGCUCUGGUUGCCAUUGUUGUGAACUUAGAUUCCUAGACCUUUUCAUUAUGCACUAACUUUCUCCGCUCCCACCAUAAAUACCAGGAACCAAUGGUGAUUGAUUUCGUUGAAUUUUCCAUACCAAGGACCACAUAUUUUUUUAACUAGUUGUAGCAAUAAAUAUUCUAGCACAGCUACUCACGCAUGAUCCAUAGUGCAUGCUUUUCAAUAGCAAAGUCCAAACCCAGUAAUCGCCAUACCUGUUUAGCUUUUGCACAAGUAAAUAAUGGCUAUUGGUAUCCUCCGCUCCUAUACCGCACGUAGGACAUAGCCCACGGACUUUUAUAUGUCUGUUAUCCAAAGUCACCCGACAUUGUAGCGAUCCUAACAAAGUUGGCCAGAGGAAAAUUUUAACCUAGGUAGGACAGGUCAAGCUCUAGAUCGUCCCACAUAUCGGCGAAUUCUGUGAGGGUCCGACUGUAUUUUCUUGUGAUAUUUUAUGUCCAUAUUGGUUGUGCCACUUCGCAAAGUAUGCCGAUCUCACUAAGAAUCUCCCAUUUUUGCACAAGUUCCAUGCUACAAAGUCUGACAUAUCAAAUUCAGGCAAGGGAAUCGCAAGGAUCCGCGUCACAUCGACUUGCCAGAAUGUUUGAGAAACCAACUCUUCAUCCCAACGACCUGUAACAGGGUCAAUGAAAUCACUUACUUUUGUUACUAAAUUUCCUCCACGAUCCAUGAUCACCUUACUAGUAGGUGAGUUAGGGAUCCAUUUAUCAUCACAAACAUUGAUCCAACUAUCAUUACCGAUCCUCCAUAUAUGACCUCCUUUUAAUGUCUGCACCGCCGACAUAAUACUUUGCCAUGUGAAUGAGGAUCUCCUUUUUAGAGUUGCAUUCAAAAUAUCACAAUCUGGAUAAUAUUUGGCUUUGAGAACAUGGGCACAAAGGAAAUCCGGAUUAUUAAUUAAUCUUGAAAUCUCAUUCCACCUUAUUUCUUUGGCACACGGAGCUUCCACCAGGCAUUCUUCUCUGAUUGUCACCGUCAUACCACCAGUAAUGCGAUAUAGCUUGUACAAUUGAUUUGAGUAGCACUUCCUUUUCUCCUACUCCCUUCAUUCUAAAUAUAAGUCUUUGUAGAGAUUCCACUAUGGACUACAUAUGAAGCAAAAUGAGUGAAUCUACACUCUAAAAUGCAUCUAUAUACAUCCAUCCGUAUGUGAUUCAUAAUGGAAUCUCUACAAAGACUUAUAUUUAGGAAAGGAGGAGUAUUGAAAGUUGUCUUCCCUUCCAUCCCAUAAUUCUUCGAUCCACCAAUCUAAACCAAUAGUGGAUGGUAAGUCUAGAUAAGUAUCCAAUAGUGCCUCGGUCAUUAUAUUCAAACCGCUGCAAAUUUGUUUCUUCAUCUCAACUCUAGUAUAUUAGGGCUAAAAAACACACUUAACUUGUCCACACUAAUCUUCUGUCCUGAAGCGGCACAAUAUGAUGCAAGGAUUUCUUUCACACUCAGCAUUAUCCCUUGCCCUCUUUGUUACAAUGUCGUGCCAAGCUCAACUAGAAAAUGAAUUACUUUCAACAUAAAGCAACUACAAAACAUGAUAAUCGUUGUAAAAAGUUGACUAUAGACACCACAAAAAUUGUUGAGCCCUUCUUUGAUGGUAUCAAUGAGUUUGUGAGCUCUCAUUGCUGUCAAUUGCGAAUCCAGAAUCCAGAAAUAAGCAUAGCGGGAGGAACCGGACGCUCUCAGAGCUCAGUGCAUUCUGGUCGUCCAAUCGUUUUCCUAAUGCGAUAACCACCAUCCGAUCUCGCCCAUGAUUGAUCUCAUCCACCGGAUCAGGACCCGACACUGCUACAAUGAAUAGUGAUGAAUAGUUGCCCUCCAGCAUGCCACCGCCAGUAAUUUUCAUGCCCCUUCAAGGGCAUAUCCGUCAUUUCACACACAGGCAUAUAAAUGGAAUGGCCCCCGUGGAGAACACGGCGCCAGCCCUGCACCCGUCUGCUCCUCCAUCACUCAUGUCGCGCCUCUCCUCUUCCUCCCGUCUCACCUCUCUCUCUCCCUCCAAACCCUAACCCGCACCCGCCUCCCUUCCUUGCCGCCACCGUUGCCGCCGCUGCUGCUCACCGGGGCACCCAUCCUCGACCUCAUAGUCCAGAGCAACGGAUUGGUCUGUGAGGGGAUCAAAGCGCUCGAGAUGCGGCCGUCGCGGGUACUAUGAGGGGAUCUAAUCGAUAUAGAAUUUCUGGAUAGCAUAAAGGGGUACCUGAAUAAGAGUUUUUCUAUGAAAAACCUUGGAGAAGUUGCUUACAUAUUGGGCAUCAAGAUCUAUAGAGAUAGAUCAAGACGUUUAAUUGGACUUUCACAAAGCACAUACCUUGAUAAAGUUUUGAAGAAGUUCAAAAUGGAUCAGUCAAAGAAAGGGUUUUUGCCUGUAUUACAAGGUGUGAAGUUGAGUCAGACUCAAUGCCCGACCACUCCAGAAGAUAGAGAGAAAAUGAAAGUCAUUCCCUAUGCUUCAGACAUAGGUUCUAUCAUGUAUGCAAUGUUGUGUACCAGACUUGAUGUAUGUCUUGCUAUAAGCAUAGCAGGGAGGUACCAAAGUAAUCCCGGAGUGGAGCAAUGGACAGCGGUCAAGAACAUCCUAAAAUACCUGAAAAGGACUAAGGAUAUGUUUCUCAUUUAUGGAGGUGAAAAAGAGCUCGUCGUAAACAGUUAUGUCGAUGCAAGCUUUGACACUGAUCCGGAUGACUCUAAGUCGCAAACUGGAUACGUAUUUUUAUUUAAUGGAGGAGCUAUCAGUUGGUGCAGUUCCAAGCAGAGCGUCAUUGCGGGAUCUACGUGUGAAGCGGAGUACAUUGCUGCUUCAGAAGCACCGAAUGAAGGAGUUCAUAUCCGAUCUAGGUGUCAUACGUAGUGCAUCGGGUCCAAUGAAAAUCUUUUUUGACAGUACUGGUGCAAUUGCCUUGGCAAAGGAAUCCAGAUUUGACAAAAGAACCAAGCACAUCAAGAGACGCUUCAAUUCCAUCUGUCAUCAAGUGUUGGAAGGAGACAUAGAGAUUUGCAGGAUACACACGGAUCUAAAUGUUGCAGACCCGUUGACUAAGCCUAUUCCACGAGCAAAACAUGAUCAGCACCAAAGCUCCAUGGGUGUUAGAAUCAUUACUAUGUAAUCUAGUUUAUUGACUCUAGUGCAAGUGAGAGACUGAAGGAAAUAUGCCCUAGAGGCAAUAAUGAAGUUAUUAUUUAUUUCCUUAAUUCAUGAUAAAUGUUUAUUAUUCAUGCUAUAAUUUUAUUAACCAGAAACGUAGUACAUGUGUGAAUACAUAGAGAAAACAUAUAGUCCCUAGUAUGCCUCUACUUGACUAGCUCGUUAAUCAAAGAUGGUUAUGUUUCCUAACCAUAGACAUGUGUUGUCAUUUGAUGAACGGGAUCACAUCAUUAGGAGAACGAUGUGAUGGACAAGACCCAUCCGUUAGCUUAGGAUUAUGAUCGUGUCAGUUUCAUUGCUAUUGCUUUCUUCAUGACUUAUACACGUUCCUUAGACUAUGAGACUAUGCAACUCCCGAAUACCGGAGGAACACCUUGUGUGCUAGCAAACAUCACCACGUAACUAGGUGAUUAUAAAGGUGCUCUACAGGUGUCUCCAAAGGUGUUUGUUGGGUUGGCAUAGAUCGAGAUUAGGAUUUGUCACUCUGUGUAUCAGAGAGGUAUCUCUAGGCCCUCUCGCUAAUGAUCAUCACUAUAAGCCUUGCAAGAAAUGUAACUAAUGAGUUAGUUAUGGGAUGAAGCAUUACGGAACGAGUAAAGAGACUUGUCGGUAACGAGAUUGAACUAGGUAUGAUGAUACCGACGAUCGAAUCUCGGGCAAGUAACAUACCGAUGACAAAGGGGACAACAUAUGUUGUUAUGCGGUUUGACCGAUAAAGAUCUUCGUAGAAUAUGAAGGAACCAAUGAGCAUCCAGGUUCCGCUAUUGGUUAUUGACCGGAGACGUGUCUCGGUCAUGUCUACAUAGUUCUCGAACCCGUAGGGUCGCACGCUUGACGUUCGAUGACGAUUAGUAUUAUGAGUUUAUGUGAUAUGAUGUACCGAAGGUUGUUCAGAGUCCCAGAUAUGAUCACGGGCAUGACGAGGAGUCUCGAAAUGGUUGAGACAUAAAGAUUGAUAUAUUGGACGACUAUAUUCGAACACCGGAAGUGUUCCGGAGAAGUUUCGGAUAAAACCGGAGUACCGGAGGGUUAUCGGAACCGCCGGGGGAACUAAUGGGCCUCGAUGGGCCUUAGUGGAGAGAGAGAGAGGGGCAGCCAGGGCAGGCCGCGCGCCCCCUCCCCUUGAGUCCGAAUAGGACAAGGAAGGGGGCGGCGCCCCCAUUUCCUUCCCCCUCUCCCUCUCCUUCCUUCCCCCCUCUUCCCCUCUUGGUGGAAUCCUACUAGUACUAGCAGUCGUAGUAGGACUCCCUUCUUGGGGCGCGCCUACAGGGUCCGGCCGGCCUCCCCCUUGCUCCUUUAUAUACGGGGGCAGGGGCACCCUAGAACACACAAGUUGAUCAAGUUGAUCUUCUAGCCGUGUGCGGUGCCCCCCUCCACAGAUUUCCACAUCGGUCAUAUCGUCGUAGUGCUUAGGCGAAGCCCUACGCCGGUAACUUCAUCAUCACCAUCACCACGCCGUCGUGCUGACGAAACUCUCCCUCGACCUCAGCUGGAUAUAGAGUUCGUGGGACGUUACCAAGCUAAACGUGUGCAGAUCGCGGAGGUGACAUAUCUUUGGUUCUAGGAUCGGUCGAAUUGUGAAGACGUACGACUACAUCAACCGCGUUGUCAUGACGCUUCCGCUUUCGGUCUACGAGGGUACAUAGACAGCACUCUCCCCUCUCAUUGCUACGCAUCACCUAGAGAUGGAUCUUGCGUGUUCGUAAGAAUUUUUUUGAAAUUACCGCGUUCCCCAAUAGUAGCAUCCAAGCCAGGUCUAUGCGUAGAUGUUAUAUGCAUGAGUAGAACACAAAGAGUUGUGGGUGAUAAUAGUCGUACUACUUACCAGCAUGUCAUACUUUGAUUUGGCGGUAUUGUUGGAUGAAGUGGCUCAGACCGACAUUCCGCAUACGCUUACGCGAGACUAGUUCUACCGACGUGCUUCGCACAUAGGUGGCUGGUGAGUGCCCAUUUCUCCAAAUUUUGUUGAAUCGAGUGUGGCUACACCCGGUCCUUGUUGAAGGUUAAAACAGCACACUUGACGAAAAAUCGUUGUGGUUUUGAUGUGUAGGUAAGAACGGUACUUGCUAGAAGCCCGUAGCCGCCACGUAAAACUUGCAAGAACAAAGUAGAGGACGUCUAACUUGUUUUUGCAGGGCUUGCUGUGAUGUGAUAUGGUCAAGGCAUGAUGUGAUAUAAAUUGUUGUAUGAGAUGAUCAUGUUUUGUAGCAAAGUUAUCGGCAACUGGCAGGAGCCAUAUGGUUGUCGCUCUAUUGUAUGCAAUGCAAUCGCCAUGUAAUUGUUCUUACUUUAUCACUAAGCGGUAGCAAUAGUCGUAGUAACAAUAGUUGGCGAGACGACAACGAUGCUACGAUGGAGAUCAAGGUGUCGCGCCGGUGAGGAUGGAGAUCAUGACGAUGCUUCGGUGAUGGAGAUCAUGAGCACAAGAUGAUGAUGGCCAUAUCAUGUCACAUAUUUUGAUUGCAUGUGAUGUUUAUCUUUUAUGCAUCUUAUUUUUCUUAGAACGUCGGUAGCAUUAUAAGAUGAUCCCUUACUAAAUUUCAAGGUACAAGUGUUCUCCCUGAGUAUGCACCGUUGCUACAGUUCGUCGUGCCGAGACACCACGUGAUGAUCGGAUGUGAUAAGCUCUACAUUCACAUACAACGGGUGCAAGCCAGUUUUGCACACGCAGAAUACUCGGGUUAAACUUGACGAGCCUAGCAUAUGCAGAUAUGGCCUUGGAACACUGAGACCGAAAGGUCGAGCAUGAAUCAUAUAGUAGAUAUGAUCAACAUAGUGAUGUUCACCAAUGAAAACUACUCCAUCUCAUGUGAUGAUCGGACAUGGUUUAGUUGAUUUGGAUCACGCGAUCACUUAUAUGAUUAGAUGGAUGUCUAUAUAAGUGGGAGUUCUUAAGUAAUAUGAUUAAUUGAACUUUAAUUUAUCAUGAACUUAGUAUUUGAUAGUAUUUUGCAUGUCUAUGUUGUUGUAUAUCAAUGGCCCGUGCUACCGUUCCUUUGAAUUUUAAUGCGUUCCUAGAGAAAACUAAGUUGAAAGAUGAUGGCAUCAACUACACGGAUUGGGUCCGUAACUUGAGGAUUAUCCUCAUUGCUGCACAGAAGAAUUACAUCCUCGAAGCACCGCUGGGUGUCAGGCCUGCUGCAGAUGCUACUGAUGACGUUAAGAACGUCUGGCAGAGCAAAGCUAAUGACUACUCGAUAGUUCAGUGUGCCAUGCUUUACGGCUUAGAAUUGGGACUUCAAAGACGCUUUGAACAUCAUGGAGCAUAUGAGAUGUUCCAGGAGUUAAAGUUAAUAUUUCAAGCAAAUUCCCGAGUUGAGAGAUAUGAAGUCUCCAAGAAGUUCUACAACUGCAAAAUGGAGGAGAAUAGUUCUGUCAGUGAACACAUACUCAAAAUGUCCGGGUACCAUAACCACUUGACUCAGCUGGGAGUUGAUCUUCCAGGUGAUUGUGUCAUUGACAGAGUUCUUCAAUUACUGCCACCAAGCUAUAAAGGCUUCAUGAUGAACUAUAAUAUGCAAGGGAUGAACAAGACUAUUCCCGAGCUCUUCGCAAUGCUAAAGGUCGCGGAGGUAGAAAUCAAAAAGGAGCAUUAAGUGUUGAUGGUCAAUAAGACCACUAGUUUCAAGAAAAAGGGCAAAGGGAAGAAGGGGAACUUCAAGAAGAACGGCAAAAAGGUUGCUGCUCAAGAGAAGAAACCCAAGUCUGGACCUAAGCCUGAAACCGAGUGCUUCUACUGCAAAGGGACUGGUCACUGGAAGCGGAACUGCCCCAAGUAUUUGGCGGAUAAAAAGGAUGGCAAAGUGAAAGCUAUAUUUGAUAUACAUGUUAUUGAUGUGUACUUAACUAAUGCUCGUAGUAGUGCCUGUGUAUUUGAUACUGGUUCUGUUGCUCAUAUUUGCAACUCAAAAUAGGGGCUACAGAUUAAACGAAGAUUGGCUAAGGACGAGGUGAUGAUGCGCGUGGGAAAUGGUUCCAAAGUCGAUGUGAUCGCGGUCGGCACGCUACCUCUACAUCUACCUUCGGGAUUAGUUUUAGACCUGAAUAAUUGUUAUUUGGUGCCAGCGUUGAGCAUGAACAUUAUAUCUUGAUCUUGUUUAAUGCGAGACGGUUAUUCAUUUAAAUCAGAGAAUAAUGGUUGUUAUAUUUAUAUGAGUAAUAUCUUUUAUGGUCAUGCACCCUUGAUGAGUGGUCUAUUUUUGUUGAAUCUCGAUAGUAAUGAUACACAUAUUCAUAGUAUUGAAGCUAAAAGAUGUAAGUUUAAUAAUGAUAGUGCAACUUAUUUGUGGCACUUCCGUUUGGGUCAUAUCGGUGUAAAGCGCAUGAAGAAACUCCAUGUUGAUGGACUUUUGGAAUCACUUGAUUAUGAAUCACUUGGUGCUUGUGAACCGUGCCUCAUGGGCAAGAUGACUAAAACUCCGUUCUCCGGAACAAUGGAAUGAGCUACUGACUUGUUGGAAAUAAUACAUACUGAUGUAUGCGGUCCAAUGAUUAUUGAGGCUCGUGGUGGGUAUCGUUAUUUUCUUACUUCACAGAUGAUUUGAGCAGAUAUGGUUAUAUCUACUUAAUGAAGCAUAAGUCUAAAACAUUUGAAAAGUUCAAAGAAUUUUAGAGUGAAGUGGAAAAUCAUCGUAACAAGAAAAUAAAGUUUCUAUGAUCUGAUCGUGGAGGAGAAUAUUUGAGUUACGAGUUUGGUCUUCAUUUGAAACAACAUGGGAUAGUUUCACAACUAACGCCACCCAGAACACCACAGCGAAAUGGUGUGUCCGAACGUCGUAACCGUACUUUAUUGGAUAUGGUGCGAUCUAUGAUGUCUCUUACUGACUUAUCGCUAUCGUUUUGGGGUUAUGCUUUAGAGACGGCUGCAUUCACUUUAAAUAGGGCACCAUCAAAAUCCGUUGAGAUGACGCCUUAUGAACUGUGGUUUGUCAAGAAACCAAAGUUGUCGUUUCUUAAAGUUUGGGGCUGCGAUGCUUAUGUGAAAAAGCUUCAACCUGAUAAGCUUGAACCCAAAUCGGAGAAGUGCGUCUUCAUAGGAUACCCAAAGUAAGUUGUUGGGUACACCUUCUAUCACAGAUCCGAAGGAAAAAUCUUUGUUGCUAAGAAUGGAUCCUUUCUAGAGAAGGAGUUUCUCUCGAAAGAAGUGAGUGGGAGGAAAGUAGAACUUGAUGAGGUAGUUGUACCUUCUCCCUUACUGGAAAGUAGUUCAUCACAGAAAUCAGUUCCAGUGAUUCCUACACCAAUUAGUGAGGAAGCUAAUGAUGAUGAUCAUGAAGCUUCAUAUCAAGUUACUACCGAACCUUGUAGGUCUUCCAGAGUAAGAUCCGCACCAGAGUGGUACGGUAAUCCUGUUCUGGAAUUCAUGUUACUAGACCAUGAUGAACCUACGAACUAUUAGGAAGCGAUGAUGAGCCUAGAUUCCGUGAAAUGGCUUGAGGCCAUGAAAUUUGAGAUGGGAUCCAUGUAUGAGAACAAAGUGUGGACUUUGGUGAACUUGCCCGAUGAUCGGCAGGCCAUAGAAAAUAAAUGGAUCUUUAAGAAGAGGACCGACGCAGACGAUAAUGUUAUUGUUUACAAAGCUCAAGUUGUUGUGAAAGGUUUUCGACAAGUUCAAGGAGUUGACUACGAUGAGACUUUCUCACCCGUAGUGAUGCUUAAGUCUGUCCAAAUCAUGUUAGCAAUUGUUGCAUUUUAUGAUUAUGAAAUUUGGCAAAUGGAUGCCAAAACUGCAUUCCUGAAUGGAUUUCUGGAAGAAGAGUUGUAUAUGAUGCAACCAGAAGGUUUUGUCGAUCCAAAGGGUGCCAACAAAGUGUGCAAGCUCCAGCAUCCAUUUAUGGACUGGUGCAAGCCUCUCGGAGUUGGAAUAAACGCUUUGAUAGUGUGAUCAAAGCAUAUGGUUUUAUACAGACUUUUGGAGAAGCAUGUAUUUACAAGAAAGUGAGUGGGAGCUCUGUAGCAUUUCUAAUCUUAUAUGUAGAUGACAUAUUGUUGAUUGGAAAUGAUAUAGAAUUCUGGAUAGCAUAAAGGGAUACCUGAAUAAGAGUUUUUCUAUGAAAGGCCUUGGAGAAGCUGCUUACAUAUUGGGCAUCAAGAUCUAUAGAGAUAGAUCAAGAUGUUUAAUUGGACUUUCACAAAGCACAUACCUUGAUAAACUUUUGAAGAAGUUCAAAAUGGAUCAGUCAAAGAAAGGGUUUUUGCCUGUAUUACAAGGUGUGAAGUUGAGUCAGAUUCAAUGCCCAACCACUACAAAAGAUAGAGAGAAAAUGAAAUUCAUUCCCUAUGCUUCAGGCAUAGGUUCUAUCAUGUAUGCAAUGUUGUGUAUCAGACCUGAUGUAUGUCUUGCUAUAAGCAUAGCAGGGAUGUACCAAAGGAAUCCCGGAGUGGAGCACUGGACAGCGGUCAAGAACAUCCUGAAAUACCUGAAAAGGACUAAGGAUAUGUUUCUCAUUUAUGGAGGUGAAAAAGAGCUCGUCGUAAAUGGUCACGUCGAUGCAAGCUUUGACACUAAUCCGGAUGACUCUAAGUCACAAACCGGAUACGUGUUUUUAUUGAAUGGAGGACCUGUCAGUUGGUGCAGUUCCAAGCAGAGCGUCAUGGUGGGAUCUACGUGUGAAGCGGAGUACAUUGCUGCUUGAGAAGAAGCGAAUGAAGGAGUUUGGAUGAAGGAGUUCAUAUCCGAUCUAGGUGUCACACCUAGUGCAUCGGGUCCAAUGAAAAUCUUUUGUGACAAUACUGGUGCAAUUGCCUUGGCAAAGGAAUCCAAAUUUCACAAAAGAACCAAGCACAUCAAGAGACGCUUCAAUUCAAUCUGUCAUCAAGUGUCGGAAGGAGACAUAGAGAUUUGCAAGAUACACAUGGAUCUAAAUGUUGCAGACCCGUUGACUAAGCCUAUUCCACGAGCAAAACAUGAUCAGCACCAAAGCUUCAUGGGUGUUAGAAUCAUUACUAUGUAAUAUAGAUUAUUGACUUUAGUGCAAGUGGGAGACUGAAGGAAAUAUGCCCUAGAGACAAUAAUAAAGUUAUUAUUUAUUUCCUUAAUUCAUGAUAAAUGUUUAUUAUUCAUGCUAUAAUUGUAUUAACCGGAAACUUAGUACAUGUGUGAAUACAUAGACAAAACAUAUAGUCCCUAGUAUGCCUCUACUUGACUAGCUCGUUAAUCAAAGAUGGAUAUGUUUCCUAACCAUAGACAUGUGUUGUCAUUUGAUGAACAGGAUCACAUCAUUAGGAGAAUGAUGUGAUGGACAAGACCCAUCCGUUAGCUUAGGAUUAUGAUCGUGUCAGUUUCAUUGUUAUUGCUUUCUUCAUGAGUUAUACACGUUCCUCAGACUAUGAUACUAUACAACUCCCGAAUACCAGAGGAACACCUUGUGUACUAUCAAACGUCACAUCAUAAUUGGGUGAUUAUAAAGAUGCUCUAUAGGUGUCUCCAAAGGUGUUUGUUGGGUUGGCAUAGAUCGAGAUUAGGAUUUGUCACUCCGUGUAUCGGAGAGGUAUCUCUGGGCCCUCUUGGUAAUGCUCAUCACUAUAAGCCUUGCAAGCAAUGUGACUAAUGAGUUAGUUGCGGGAUGAAGCAUUACGGAACGAGUAAAGAGACUUGCCAGUAACGAGAUUGAACUAGGUAUGAUGAUACCGACGAUCGAAUCUCGGGCAAGUAACAUACCGAUGACAAAGGGAACAACGUAUGUUUUUAUGCGGUUUGACCGAUAAAGAUCUUCGUAGAAUAUGUAGGAACCAAUAUGAGCAUCCAGGUUCCGCUAUUGGUUAUUGACCGGAGACAUGUCUCGGUCAUGUCUACAUAGUUCUCGAACCCGUAGGGUCCGCACACUUAACGUUCGAUGACAAUUAGUAUUAUGAGUUUAUGUGGUAUGAUGUACCGAAGGUUGUUCGGAGUCCGGAUAUGAUCACGGACAUGACGAGGAGUCUCAAAAUGAUUGAGACAUCAAUAUUGAUAUAUUGGAAGACUAUAUUCGAACACAGGAACUGUUCCGGAGAAGUUUCGGAUAAAACUGGAGUACCAGAGGGUUAUCGGAACCCCCCGGGGAACUAAUGGGCCUCGAUGGGCCUUAGUGGAGAGAGAGAGGGGCGGCCAGGGCAGGACGCGCACCCCUCCCCUUUAGUCCGAAUAGGACAAGGAAGGGGGGCAGCGCCCCCCUUUCCUUCCCCCUCUCCCUCUCCUUCCUUCCCCCUCUUCCCCUCUUGGUGGAAUCCUACUAGGACUAGUGGUCCUAGUAGGACUCCCCUCUUGGAGCGGGCCUACAGGGGCCGGCCGGCCUCCCCCCUUGCUCCUUUAUAUACGGGGGCAGGGGGCACCCUAGAACACACAAGUUGAUCAAGUUGAUCUUUUAGCCGUGCACAGUCCCCCCCUCCACAGAUUUCCACAUCGGUCAUAUUGUCAUAGUCCUUAGGCGAAGCCCUGCGCCGGUAACUUCAUCAUCACCGUCACCACACCAUCGUGCUGACGAAACUCUCCCUUGACCUCAGCUGGAUCUAGAGUUCGUAGGACAUCACCGAGCUGAACGUGUGCAGAUCGCGGAGAUGUCGUAUCUUCGGUGCUAGGAUCGGUCGGAUCAUGAAAAUGUACGACUACAUCAACCGCGUUGUCAUAACGCUUCCGCUUUCGGUCUACGAGGGUACGUAGACCCCUCUUGUUGCUAUGCAUCACCUAGAGAUAGAUCUUGCGUGAACAUAGGAUUUUUUUGAAAUUACCGCAUCCCCCAACACGAAUCUCAUCUGCUGGGUUGAAAGAGGCGAUGAAUCAUCAGUUCUUGGAAAGGUUAACGACAACUGAUGUGCGAUGUUUGCUGCUUGACUUCAUGCGCCUGAAUAUAUAGCUUCUGCCCGUCCUUCUCUUAUAGUAGCAGCUAUGGUUCACGGGUGUAUUGCCCACUAUCUUUAUUUUUCUCUUCCCCCUAUGAUUUCGUCUUCCACUCAACAAUUCUUUUGUUAUAAUGUAUUUCCAUAAUCAUGUAUCUGGUGAACUGUUUGAUUCAGACAAAUCAUGGAGGCUGGUUCUCAUAUUUUUCUUGGGGAAUUCUUCAAUCCACAAUUUUCCAUGGCUGCUGAUCAGGUAAUUACUUCACACCAUUCGCAAAAAAAAGGUAAUUACUUCACACGCAUGACUGCGGCACCUCAUCUCUUCAUACAAAUAUAAUCCAAAAUAGUCUAUUUCUGUCAUGUGCUUCAUCUAGAUGCUAACUGAACUUCAACAUAAAUCAGUUGCUUGUUUAGUUGUCUAGAUUUAUUUGAGACUUAAGAACAUUGGGUUGUUUAGUAGCUUUUCUGUGAAAAGUUGUCGUGCUGCUAUAAUACUAACAUGUCAGAAAUUGUAAGAGAUAUUUAGAUAGAUCUGAUUGAGUUAACAAGUUUAUCAUGAUCUAAUAUAUGCAUUGUGAUAUGUUCUGCUAUACUGGUUUGAUGUCCAUUUGUUAGAGGAGGUCUCAUUCUUUGAGGGAGAACCUGAUUGAUUAUGAACCUAGGGACCUGAAGGUUUGCUUUGCCCAUCGGUUGAGAUUUAACGUAUGAAUAAGACUAACUUAUUUUAAGCGUGAUAUGACUAACUCCAUGAGCAGUUUAGAAUUUGGACAAAAGCACAUGACCACUUGAGAAGAGAAGGCAAUGACCUACAUAUAACAAUUAUAAUCUCCAUGGUAUGGCUGUCUCUUUUAUUAACUUUAAUAAUUGGCAUUACGAGCAUAUUUACCAAUUUGUAAAACAGAAUCCUUUUUUAAUUGUUAAUAUCUUUAUUGACUGUGUUUAAUAUUUUUAUUAGCUGUUAGUAUAUAUGUAAUGCUCACUCUUCUUUUGCAGGCCCCAUGAGUCACUUAAGUCCUACGAUGUUCAAAACAUAUGCGUAAACAAAUUGAUGGCUUAAGUAGACCUGAAGUUCAAGGAAGCUAUCCUUAAGUAUUUAGAAUUCCAUCUAUGUAUACAUCUCAGAAUACCUAUGCACUGGACCAUCUACACUAUUCAUAAUCUGUGUCCUAAGAGGCUAAGACAACAACCUAUACAAUGAUAAUCUAAGCUUGCAUUGUGUUGCCAGUCUUAUUUUCAAAUGGAUGUUCCUAUGAAUUUGCCCGUUGUCAUACAAGCACCAUGCAUAAAAUAUUUAUUUAUUAUUUGACAUGUUCACUUCUUAGAAGUAUGUGGAAUUCAUGUGGAUGUGCCUUUGCAUGAAAAGAAGAUUGAAAACCUGUUUUUCAGGUCAUGAUGUUAAGCAAGGACUUGGGUACUUGUGCAGGUGACAUGCUUGAGUCUGCAAAUUGUAUUAAUAUGCGGCUAAUGGUCUGUCUCUGGGUGUUACUCCUGUCGAAGUUGAUGUCAACUGGGCUCUCUAAAAUGUCAGCAGUGAAGCUGAAAACCUCGAUCACAUGUCUCUGAUGGUAACUGACGUAGUGCAGUACAUAGGUAUCUACCCUUAUGAUGCAGAAUCUAACUGCUCCAAAGGUGAUGAUUUCCCUGGUUAUUACUCACUCGACGAUGUUCUGAACCACAAUGAUGUUGUUGCCUCGACGACGAGUUCCUCAACUUAAGCGACUGAUGAGCUGGGGCUUGAAGACCAGGCUCUUAUGGUUUGCUUACGGACCCUACUAUUGUAUUGUACUCCCUCUAUCCCAAAAUUCUUGUCUUAGAUUUGUAUAGAUACGGAUGUAUCUAAUACUAAAACAUGACUUGAUACAUCCGUAUUUAGAUAAAUCUAAGACAUGAAUUUUGGGACGGAGGGAGUACUUGGGUAGAAUGCCUCUAUGAAGGUGGUUUGAACCUCUAUGAAUGCUUCUUUCUGUGUUGUACAUUAUCUGUAGUCGAUAAUGUGGAUGAGUACUCCAAAUGAGUACAAUCAGGUAGACUGUCUGUCGAAAACUGGCAAACUGCUGCUACGUGGUUAUUGUAAGAUAUAGUACUACCUGCUAAUCGUUAGAUUCAAUAUAGACACACAAGUGGUGUCAGUACUAUAUAGACACACAAGUGGAGUUGGAUGGGAAAACCUAUAGAUUCACUGCAAUCUAUGGGGAGCCAUGUGUGGAGAAGAGGGCGAAAACGUGGGAAGUGAUGCGGUACUUGAGAACUCAGGAUGAUCUGCCGUGGUUGUGCGUUGGUGAUUACAAUGAAGCUAUGGUGCAGAAGGAACAGAUUGGAGGCAAGCCCAGAUGCAUUAAACAGAUGGAUGGUUUUCGGGAUUGUUUGGCUGACUGUGGGCUGGCGGACAUGGGGUUCUCAGGAUAUCCCUUCACUUGCAAUAAUAAGAGGCAAGCGGAGGAGAACAUCCAAGUUAGGCUAGAUCGGGCUACGUGCUCGGCCUCUUUUAUGCAGAUGUUCCCGGCAUCAGAGGUGCAGCACAUCUUAACAGAAGAAUCAGAUCAUCAGGCGCUUUUGGUGCGGGUUGCAUCGACACUGGUCGACCAAACUGCAAAGGCGCCAAGGCAUUUUAUGUAUGAGGCGGCAUGGGCUAAGCAUGCGGACUAUGAAGCCAUGGUGACCAGUGCAUAGGAAGCGGCACAUGCAGCAAAUCACAUGCAGCCCGGUGCUGGGGCUGCAUGCAAGCAACUUGACUUGAUGGCCAAGGCGAUGAAGACAUGGAGCAGGGAGGUUUUUAGGUCCAUCAAAAAGCAGAUUGGGCACCUCAAAUGGCAGUUAAAAGAUGCGAAGGAACGGGCGUUAAGAUCGGGGUAUAAGCAGGAAAUUAAAGACAUAGAAAAUCAGCUGCAUUAUUUGUACAAGAGGGAGGAGAUUUACUAUAAACAGAGAUCAAGAGUGGAUUGGCUGCAAUAUGGGGAUCAAAAUACUCAAUAUUUUCAUAACAGAGCUUCACAUCGGAAGAGAAAAAAUACUGUCAAGGCGCUGCGAAGGGAUGACGGAACAAAGUGUACGGAUGAUGCGGGCAUGAGAGCGAUGGCUGCCAAUUUUUAUGGGGUGUUGUUUACAUCAGAGGGGUCGCGGGAUGGAGGUAGGAUACUAUAACACAUUGAUAGAACAGUGAUGGAUGAGAUGAAUGAGAAGUUGUCAGCUCCUUUUACGGAUGCGGAGAUUGAGAAAGCGCUGUUUCAGAUGGGACCAACGAAAGCCCCAGGCCCAGACGGUUUUCCGGCGAUGUUUUACCAACGACACUGGUCGUUGGUAAAAGAGGAGUGUGUGCUGCUAUUAAGGAUUUUUUGGCGGGAAGGACGACGCCGGAAGGUUUUAACGAUACAGUUAUCGUGAUGAUCCCGAAGGUGGCAUCACCGGAGAUUCUCACUCAGUUCCGAACGAUUAGUCUGUGCAACGUUUUGUACAAGAUUGCAUGAAAAACCUUGGCAAACCGACUUAAGGUGGUGCUUCCGAUGUUGAUUGCGGAGGAGCAGAGCGCUUUCGUCCCAAGGAGAUUAAUCACGGAUAAUGUUUUGGUGGCGUAUGAGUGUGUUCAUGCAAUCAGGAAGAGGAAGAGGAGGAAACCCCUAUGUGCGAUUAAACUAGAUAUGAUGAAGGCCUAUGACAGGGUGGAGUGGGUUUUUUUAGACCAAGUGAUGACGAAGUAUGGAUUCUCUUCUCACUGGAGAGAGAUGAUCAUGAGGUGUGUUAGGACAGCCAGGUUUUCGGUAAAGUUAAAUGGUGGCUUCUCACAUUGUUUUCUCCCGUCUCGGGGCCUCCGGCAGGGAGACCCGUUGUCACCAUAUCUGUUUCUAUUCUGUGUGGAGGGUUUCUCAGCUUUGUUGAAGCAUGCACAAGAGGAGAGAAGGAUCAAGGGUGUAUCAUUUGGGAGCACUGGCCCCAUGGUCACUCAUUUGCUUUUUGCUGGCGAUAGUAUUGUUUUCUUGGAAGGGUCGCAAGACAAUUUUAUGUGUCUUCGUACAAUCUUGCAGGAUUAUGAGGUGGCCUCAGGACAGCGUGUAAAUCUGGACAAAUCGGCUUUAUUCUUUGGAAAUGGCUGUGAGGAGGAGGAGAAGGGGGUUCUUAAGCAAGUUAUAGGCAUUGCCUCGGAGGCUCUUAGUGAGAGAUACUUAGGCCUACCAACAGGGGUUGGAAAAUCUAAGGACGGAGCUUUCAAAUAUGUAAAGGAAAGUGCAAAAGGGAAAGUUUCCGGGUGGAAGGGGCAGGGUCUAUCCAAGAUGGCCAGAGAGGUAUUGAUUAAAUCAGGGUUACAGUCUACUCCUACUUUCACUAUGAGCUGCUUUCAACUCACCAAAAAAAUGUGUGGGAAUCUGUCAUCUAUCUCUUCAAACUUCUGGUGGGGUGAAGCUAAUGGUGAAAAAAGAGUACACUGGAUAGCUUGGGAUAAAAUGUGUUCGAGGAAGCAAGAAGGAGGACUGGGAUUUAGGGACAUGGAAGUUUUCAACCAAGCGCUGCUUGCUAAGCAAGCUUGGAGACUGCUGCAGGAGCCAAACUCGUUGUGUGCGCGAGUGCUCAAAGCAAGGUACUACCCAGACAGCUCCAUUCUCAAUGCAACCUGUCCGGAUGGGGGUUCUUUCAUGUUCAGGAGCAUCAUUCACGGUCGGGAACUACUAAGGGAGGGGCUGAUUUGGCGCAUUGGAGAUGGAUCCAGAGUUCGUAUUCAUCAUGAUAAUUGGAUUCCGCGUAAUGGCAGCCUGAAGCCACUGGGCCAGGCUUUUGUCGCGGGAGUCACUAGAGUUGGCGAUCUACUGGAUGAAACCAACACUGCUUGGGACAGAGAGAAGGUGCAUAAUAUGUUUCCCCCCGGCGAAGCAUGUGAUAUUAUGCAAAUUACUGUGGGGGGCCGGGGGUGGAGGACUAUAUCGCAUGGAACUACACAAAAGAUGGUGUGUUCUCAGUGAGGUCGACAUACCACCUCGGUAUGACGCAGAAAAGAGCAAAGACUGGGAACCAAGGGUCGUCAUCCUCGGUCGCCAACCAUAAAGCAUGGACGAACUUGUGGGACACUGUGGCGCCGGGAAGAAUGAAAGUCCACACAUGGCGCCUAAUCCGGAACGGACUAGCAGUGGGAUCCGAGCUUCAUAGGCGCAAGAUCAAAGCUGGGGUGUUUGUGUAGCAUGUGGGAGGGAGGAGACCAACUUACACAGGUUCUGGCGUUGUCCCCACUCGGCAAAGUUCUGGCAGAUGGUGUACUCGGAAUUGGGAGUACCGGCGGCGAUCCCGCCGGCGUCAGUUCGCUCCCAGAGUGCGCUAACUCAAUGGCUCAUGGAUUGGUUUGCAGAAGCUUCGGAUGAUCAACGAGCUAUUAUGGUGCAGGGAUUAUAUGCGCUGUGGAUGGCAAGGAAUAACACGCGUGAAGGGACGAGAAUUGAGGAGCCGGGUGACAUGGCUAUAAUGGUCAGGAGGCUAAUGGAGGAGUGGCAACAUGUCAAUGGAAAGGAAAGCAAGGCUUCCCGUGCCCCACUGAUUCAAAACUGGAGUGUUCCGGAUGAAGGAUGGAUCAAAGCGAAUGUAGAUGGUGCAACUGCUGCGGGAGGAAAGGGGGCGGGGGGUGGUUUUCCGAAAUGCGGACGGAGCGUUCAUAGCAGCAGAAUGCAGGUGCUUCCCUAUUGGUGGUGAUCCAGCUCUGGUGGAGCUUCAGGCGUGUAAGAGGGCGGUGCAGUUGGCGGGGGACUUAAAUCUGGCAAGAGUACAUCUCGAGCUGGACUGCCAAGCGGUGGUUCGCAAGUUAUAAAGCAAAGAAGCUGAUCUAUCUUCUCUGGGACCAAUGAUCAAAGAUGUGAAAAACAUGCUGGAGCAACGGGAGUGGAAGGUAUCUUGGGUUCGGAGGUCGGCGAAUGGAGCCGCACAUAAACUAGCAAAGGAGGGGUUAGAUAAUAAUUUGAAUAAGGUCUGGGUGGGCGAUCCCCCAGAGUGUAUUUUGAGGAUUUUGUCGGCAGAAAUCCCUGCCUUGCAUGAUUGAAUAAAGAUUGUUUAGAUUUCAAAAAAAAAAUCGUUAGAUUCAAUAUGAUGCUAAUUCCCAUGUGCCUGACAGUUGAUUGUGUUGUUUUGCUGUGUGUAUAAUUGAGAGAAUUUCUUAUUUGACAUUGUGUUAAAUUUUGUUUCCCUAUUUGACACCAAAAAAUAUUUUCUUCACUUUAUAACACCGAGUCUAAAUUUUAUGCCCUUUAUAACACUUUCGCCUAUUUUAAGCCUUAAAGGUGUUAACUGACACAUGAAAAGACUUUUUUACCCCUGAUGUGGUAUGUGAUAAAAGAAUUCAUAGAUGCUAGUACAUGCUAAUAAUGCCCGGCCGGCUUGGUUUGUUGUAUGCGGCUAAGUAUAGCGGACUAGGUGCAUGUGUGCUGUCCAGCUGGUUCGGUUCCUAGCUGCAUGAGCCAACUUGCUGCGUGGGCGCGUUCUGUGCAGCGGGGAGUGUGAGCGGCCGCCGUCCUUCUUUGUGACCCCGGACUCAUGUGUACUUCGUUGCUUAGUUAGCUAGAGAUUACUUCAUGCGUGUGCCUGGCAUGGCAUCGGCCAGUAUGAAUAAGCACGGACUAGAUACUACCGUACGAUGUACGUAUUUAAGGAGAGGAGAGUGGUUACACCAUACACAAGAGCUAACUUAAGCACUCGAUUGAUUUUCUUUGGAAGUUGGCUCACGCAGCUAGGAAUCGAACCAGCUGGACAGCACACAUGCAGCUACUUCGCUAUACUUAGCCGCAUACAACAAACCAAGCCGGCCGUAGCACGUACUAGCAUCUAUGAUUUUUUUAUCACAUACCACAACAGGGGUAAAAAGGUCUUUUCAUGUGUCAAUUAACACCUUUAAGGCUUAAAAUAGACGAAAGUGUUACAAAGGGCAUAAAAUUUAGACUCGGUGUUAUAAAGGAAAGAAAAUAUUAUUCGGUGUCAAAUAUGGAUACAAAAUUUAACACAGUGUCAAAUAAGGAAUUCUCUCUAUAAUUAAUCCUUGCACACACUUAUAAUAAAAAAUUAGAUCGGUUGAUACAGAAGAACUCUUAUCUAUCUAUACCUACUAUUAAAAGGAUUAGGUAUUCUUGGUUUGGUUCCGCUUUAUUUGGUCCCGUCUUGAGUAUUUUCACAUAUGUCCGUUUUUUUUUAAAGUUUUGUCCACUUGUCGAACGUAUGUGCAAAGAAAAGAAACCGGAACGAACAAAGGAAAUAGAUACGUACUUUUUUUUUGAGGGAAAAAUAGAUACGUACGUGUAAAGGAAACUUGAAACCUAAGGGAAGCAGCCGGCCGGCCGGCCCGUAUCUAUUUCUCAGUUGCCAAACGAAACAGAGCUGCCGGCCCAUAUGUCGAUUUUAUUUAUAGUUGCCAGCCAAUAUCGAGAGGACCCAUGGCAAAUUAAGGUUUCCUUGAGCGAAGAAAACAGCAGACGGCCAUUCAUGAAAACCUCAAAUGACUCGAAGGCCAGUAACUUCUCAAUCGGCCGAGACAACGGCAACGAGGGGAACUUUCAAAAGGUGCAGCCCCUCACUGGUCGCCGCCGCUGCACAUCGGCCACGGACGACGGCGAGGAGGUGAAACGGCCGAUGGGGAGGUGAGCCUGCCGUGCUUUGUGUUUCACGUUUAGUAAUCAUGCCACGGUCGAAUACCACCGAACAGGGCCGAUUGUGCAUGCACGUCAUCGUCGCCAUGGCCAUGCUAAGCAAAGAAAGAAGAGACAAGACAAGCAUCAUGCAUCAAUACAUGCUACGUCUAUCCUAAUCUGACAUGCAUAAUAUCUCUUUCUAGGUAUCUAAGGAAAUUACGAGCAUGCAUGCAUGGCUCAACCCGCAGGGUGCAAUCACUUGCUUUAUUUAUACUGACAUUACUUAGUCUUCAGUUUCUCGCAAAAGAAAAGUUAGUCUUGAGGCGGCUAAAAAAAUUAGGUGCUUUAAUACAAAUUAACACAGAUUUAUUUUGUGCAGACCACCUUCAUUGUGGGGAGUCAUGUGUGUUGUUUAACGUACUGCUUGGUAAUCGUGUGUUACAGAUAGGAAUGGUAUCAAAUAAUUACAUAUUAAGUGGUCAUGGUCAACUAAAUUGCUUAAAUGUGAUUGUUAUAUGAUAACUUUUUGUGUGUAAAGUUCAUUCCGGAAUCACUGAUUGAUGGACGAAAUUAUGAUGUCAAAUUUUUAUUCACAAUCUGGUCGGUGAAAUUGCUUAAACAUGGUUAUCAAAUCAGACAUCUAUGUUCUGAAGGUUUUAGCUGUAUCAUAUAUUUAGUUUAUUUAUCAACAUUGUUUCCCAUUGCAAUGCGCUGGCAUUUAACUAGAAACCUACAAAUAGAGAUUUUUAUAUAUAUACAAGUCAGAAGUUGCUAUACAUAUGCCUACGGAAGAUAAGAUUCCACAGCAGCAAUCAAACAAACUUUAAAUGUUCAUGCCAAUUAAUUUUUUAUACCUAUUACUAAAUUUCCCCUACUAUAGUUUGUUGUUCUUUCAUCGGAUAUUUUAGCAAUAUAUAGAUAUCACACCGGUCGCCUGGCAAAAGCCAGUGAAGACAGGCCAACAAAUGUUCUAACUUGAAAAUUCUCAAAAGUUCUUUCAUUUCUACACAUUCGCACAUCCCGAUUCUCACAGCCUAUUCUUUUUUCUCCCGUUGCAACGCACGGGCAUGUUUCCUAGUGAUGAACAAAUUGUGAUACACUAAUGCAGUACCACUUGGCUAAACGAUAGAGAAAUUCUCAACACCAUGGCACGCUGAGUGACUUGCUCUAAUUUUAAUCUAUCCAACCACCUCGGUUUAUUCCUUUAUGUCGAGCUUACUUACUUUAUUUGAAUAAUUCAUGAGGUCAAAUAUUUGAUGAAUUAUUUUCGGCACUGAACCAUGCACUAUUGUAUUGUUUUGGAUUUCACGGCUCAACCGAGCAGCGCGCGCCAAGGCGCGAUGCCUAUCUAGUUCAUGUGGUGGGUAGUCAACUAGUCAUCAUCUCAUGAAAGUAGUUCCAACAUGCCGACGUGUAGUCAAAAGCAUCAGGAUAAGUGGGUACGUUCGAAUUGUCCAGACAAACGCCCUAUUUUGGCUCCUCUCAGUUGCCAAUCCACAAGAUUUCAGAAAUCAACAUCAAACAAUGAGAAGCAAUCCCCCAAGCUAAGGCGUGCAAACAAGAUGUAGAUCAAGAAAGUAACACUAUACAAAAUGCACGAGAAGUAAUUGAAUCGAUUGGGCCAAAACUCGAAAGACAAACAGCAAGCUGCAGCAGCCCUGCAGCACCAAGGCUGUAGAGGCAAAGUGAACCUUUGGAGGCAAGCAAUGUAACUAUAUAGUUCAACAGAGCACAUCAUCAUUCUGAAGGAAAUAGCACAGUAUAGCAUUUCUGCAAAACUCAUGAUAGCAACCUACACCGAAUAUCUUCUUGACAUGAAUAAAGACCCAACCCAGACUACUGCUCAGAGAGCAAAUCCUACUCAUAAGAGCACCAUAGAUUUGAACUGGUUGUGCAGGCAGAUAACCCAAACACCCUAGUAACCACCCUUGAGAUCAUUGACCACAUCGUAGGGAAUGGGAGUGACGGUCUCAAUUGUGGUACCCUCGACCAUGAACCCAGGUUUAGGGCCGAGUGGCUGCCUCUUGGUGCUGAUGACCUCACCGCGCGCCUUGGCUUCCGCCUUGAGCUGGUCGUUCUUCACUUUCCUCAG